rnacentral:lncRNA from 1 species
UUUUAGUUCAAUUUUUUUAAAAAAUCAAUGUAACAUAGAGGUAUCUCUAUUGUCAUUGUUGAACUCUUUCAAAGGUAUAUACUGUUCAUAUGAAACGAAGAGCCAAUAUUGUUGGUAAUAUUCACUACCAAACCGUCCAUACGAGAUGCCUUUUUUAUGCUCCGCAUAAAAGGUAACCAUAGUUACAUCUUACAACAUGUAGAUAGGAGAUGACGCUCUUAUUGUCUUUUGCGCAGGGCCAAAAUUAUAAUUGACUAAGCGAAGGGCCUCUGGUUGUAGCAGUCAAGGUUGUCGCCGUAGCCAACGCCGAGGAUGUCGCAGUAGCGCUUGUAGAACCCGAUCCGGUCGGCGACACGGCUGUCCUGCCCGUGCCCGCACUCGAUCCCACCAUUAAUGAUGUUGGUGAUCACACCAAACCCGGGCACCCGCCCUGCGGCCCGAUCUGCCCCUGACGGUCUCCACUGGCCUGUGAUCACAGCAUGGCUCGACGGCUUUGGCGCCUGCGCCGUCAUCCAGAACCACAUCGCCGUCUUAAACGACACGGUGGGGUCGGUGGCCACCAGGUCUGGGUUGCUCAGUAGAUCGACCCCGAUGGCCCGGCCGGCAGGCCCGUAGUUGUAGUUGUGCGAGAGCUGGAUGGGCCCGCGGCCGUAAUAGCGCUUCCCGGGGACGCACGGCCACUGCGCGCUCGGGGUGCAAUAGUCGGCGACGGCUCCACGUUCCUGCUUGAAGCAGUAGCCCCAGGCGAAGGCCCCGUCCGGUGCGGUCGCCCACCCGCCGGUGGUCUCGUGGGAGGUCUGUGCCAGGAAGGCAGCCACCUCGCGCUUCUGGGCGUCGGCGCUGCCGGUGGCGCCGAAGCCCGGGAAGGCGGAAGCGGCGGCAACGAAGGCGUCGUAGGUGUAGAAACCCUUGGCCUGGCAGGCGGCGUCGUUGCGGUGCAGCAGCAUGCGAUCAAAUUGUGCGCGGGAGACGACGGAGGACACGCUGCCGCGCGCGGUGCCGAUGGCCAUGGCCACCGUGGCCACCACCACGGCCACCACCGCAAGCGAUCCCAUUGUGCGUGGCAACAAAGCAGAGUAUUCGACCGCUCUCUUGUGCAGGUGUAGUGGUGUGUGUCUGUGUGUGGGAGAAGCGGCCGGGAGUGCACGUCUCUAUAUAGGUGUCGCGCUCACUCGAUCGCCAUGAUCGACCUGUAGGUGUCUAUCCAUCUACCUUCUUGACCGUGAGCUUCCUUCCAGAGCGACAUCGUCAUGCGAUCGACGGAUCAAUCUCGGCUUAGAUACGGUCGAGAGGUACAGCGGUGAGCAGCUGGCCAUGUAUGAUCGAGAGCGUGUGCUAGUAUGCACGCGUGUGGACUUUUGGUCCGUAGAUGACGCAGGGCAUUCAUGGAUAUUUUCAAAGUUUAUCAUUUAUCCGUUAAAACAGAUGGACAGAGAACGGCACCUUAUUCGCACUGCCCACCCGCAUUCGGAUCCUAGAGUUCACUAGCAAGCAUGCACGUACGUUGCACGUAUAAUCUUUGAGAAAUUUUAAGUUAUGUUUUCUUUAAUCCUUAAACUUGUAAGGAAUCAGUAUAAGAAACUCAUCAAUUUUAUCAUUAGCAUCCCACAUCACAUUUUCCAAACGGAUUGUCAGAUUAAAGUCGGCUCUUUCCAUCAACAUGCCACGGAGUACUCUUGGCCAGGUCUCUAAGCUCGCCUGAGUCAAACACGGUCAAAAUGGUGGCGAUGGUGAACGAAAUCUAAGGAUUGAGAGCAGAUGAAAGAGAAGAGAGGAGAGCAAAAACCAAUAGGCGGCGAAAGGGAGAGUGGUGGCCAUCGGCAUUGGGAGGCGGAUGAAGAGAAAAGACCAUCUCUCGACAUUUUUCUACAAGGAACAUAAUAUGAACAAGGGACACACAAACAAUUAUUUCAAAAGGAUAUGCACAGGAAGAUUGUUAAGGAUGUGACCAUAAGAUGAUUCAUGUUCACUAAUAUUUUGGAAACGGGUCCUAACUAUUUAUAAUCAAACAACAUCCACUUUAGUUUACGAAUUCCAAAGAAACUGAAGGGCGAUGGAAGUAGAUAAGCUUCAGAGCUAUGGGAGUAGUAGUAAAUUGUAUCUCUUAAUAAAAAAAAUUGAUCAAUAGAACAAAAGGAUUAACACAUAUGUGUACUUCUAAAAUACCGGGCCAUAUCUAUAUCUAUACCUAUAUCUAUAUCUAUAUCUAUCUAUCUAUAUCUAUAUCUAUAUCUAUAUCUAUAUCUAUCUAUCUAUAUCUACGUACAUGGGCCGCUCGUAGUGUGGCAUAGGAAAGCCAGCCCAGUUAUUUUUGUGAGCCUGUAGGUGGGUAAACCCUAUUUGUCGCUGCGAGCGUUAGAUAGGCACAAAUUCGCAAAAGGGGGGGGGGGGCAAGCUAGGCUGGCCCUUUUUUUGUGUGUGAUGUUUCUACUUUUCUUUUUUGUUUCUUUCUAUUCCUCUUUGGUCUUUUACCUUUCAAGUUUUUUCCCUUUUUUGUAAAUUCAAAAUUUUCAAAAAAAUUCAUAAUAUGAUAAAAUUUUGACUUUUUUAAAAAAUGUUCAGAAUUAUAAAAUUUAUUCCAUUUUGAAAAAUGUUCAGAACAUUAAAAAAAAUUGAGGUGAACUAGGGCUUUAUUCAAAAGAUAAUAAGGAAGGAAUACAAGUGAUGUUCGGUACGAUCCCUAGCCACAAACGGCGUCCAGAAGGGAGAGAUGAAGCAGCCUUGCAAUGGCAUGAGCUUCAACAUUUGCCUCCCUACACUCAUAUCUGAAACUAGAACUCAAAAAAUCUUUCAUAGUCUCUCUUAUCUCAUCUAUGAGUACAUCAUAAGAAGAAAGCACUUUCUUCCGAAUAUCUGAGACCACUUGCAUGCAAUCACAACCUAUGAUCACAUGGGAGAGGUUGAGGUCCUUUGCCAGAGCAAGUGCUUCGAUGCAUGCUAAUGCUUCCAGGCUUGCCGCAUCAACCAAGCCAUCAAAGGUAACAGCUGAAGAACCCAAAUACUUCCCAUCCUUGUCCCUGCAAAUCGCCGAGACUGCACCCCUUUUACCAUCCCGCGAAACUGCGCCGUCCACAUUAAUCUUUAGUGCACUCCCUUCUGGCGCAAUCCAUCUAUGGGAUCACUGAUGUGGUGGGCGUCCUGCUGCGGGUCUGCUUACAGAGACAAUAGUCAAGUCCUCUAGGUAUCUGUUGAUAAAGCACAUAGUGGACAAAGGACUCUGAAAUUCGUCAUCGUGAAUUGCCCUCCUCCUUGCCCACCAGAUGGCCCACAUGGUGACCAAUACUCUUGCUAACUCGUUCUGGUUCAUCGUAUCAAAGAGCCAGAAGAGCCACAGUCUAGGGUCUUCAGAUCUGUUAUAUAGCACAUGCUCGACUAUCUCCUCCUCGCCUAACGCCCACACGCACCUUGCCAUCCGGCAGUCAAAAAGCGAGUGCCUCCAUGUAUCAUUCUCCGCACCACACAGAGAACAUGCCGGCGUGUCCGCCAUAUUCCUUCCAUGCCUUGUAGUACCAGUCGGCAAAGACGUAUGUGACAAUCUCCAAGCAAAAAUUCUAACUUUUGAGGGAACUUUAACCUUCCAGAGCGAAGACCACGACUUCUUCUCCCGCACUUGGUUCGAGUGACCCCCUCUGUGUUCAAGCCAAUCUUCUCUUUGGAAUUUGAUAGCAUUGAUCAUUCUAUAUGCCGACCGCACCGAGAAAAUACCCUUUUUGUCAUAGUGCCAAGCCCAAAAAUCUGAUUGUACCCUCAAGCUCAAUGGUAUGUUCAGAAUCACAUCCACAUCUGGUGCAAGAAAAUGUUCUUGUAUCACCUCUCUCCUCCACGUCCUCGUCACUGGAUCAAUGAGUUCUGACACAAAUUGGGGUGGGUUCGUCAAUAUUGGGCAGAUAGGCCGCAGUUUGUAGUCCCGUGGCAACUAAUUCUCCUCCCAAAUGUGUGUGUCUGUCCCCGAACCAAUCCUCUUAAUCAAGCCAAGAGCAAGAAUGUCUCUUCCCUCAAGUAUCGACCGCCAAACCUGUGACGGGUGGGCUCCUAAAGCUGCAUCAAGUAUGUCCACAUCUGGAUAGUAACGAGCUUUUAAAACUCGAGCGCUGAGCGUGUCCGGUUCCUGUAGCAAUCGCCAUACCUGCCUGGAUAAGAGGGAAAGAUUGAAGAGCUCAAUAUCCCUGAAGCCUAAUCCUCCCAUGAAUUUGGGCUUACACAUAGUCCUCCAUGAGACCCAUGCUGGCUUCCUUUGGCCUUGCUUGCUACCCCACCAGAACUUCCGUAGUAGACCAUUGAUGUGUUCACAUAAUCCACGAGGGGGCCUGAAGCAUGCCAUGGAAUAUGUUGGUAUGGAUUGAGCAACAGACUUUAUUAAAACUUCCUUUCCUCCUGCCCGAUAGGCAUUUUUCAAUCCAUCCUUGGAUAUGCUUCCAAAUCCUGUCCUUCAGGUACCUGAAACAUCCCUCUUUCGCCUUGCCAACAUCAGUAGGAAGCCCUAGAUAUUUGUCGGUCAAAGCCUCGUUGUGGACAUCAAGCAGUAGCUUUAUCUCAUUACGUUGUGACUCUUCAACCAUUUUACUAAAAUAGAUCGAGGAUUUAUCAGUAUUAAUGCGUUGUCCCGAAGCAUCACAGUACAUCUUCAAAAGGUCUCGUACCUUCUCUGUACUCGCUCUUGUUGCCUCAAAAAACAGAAGAAUGUCAUCGGCGAACAACAAAUGAUUGACUGAUGGAGCCGUGGGUGCAACUGCCAAACUCUGUACUCCUAUAUUUUCUGCCUUCAGCAAGCAAGAUAAUCCUUCUGCAGCAAUAAGAAAUAAAUAGGGAGAGAUAGGAUCUCCCUGGCGAAGUCCUCGCGAAAUCAUCCAUAAUGCCUCCAUUAAACAGAACCGAGAAAGAAACGGAUGAGACGCACCUCAUUACAGUCUUCGUGAACCGUGGACUGAUCCCCAUCUUGAGCAUUACUGCCUUUAGAUAGGACCACUCUAACCGAUCAUAAGCCUUCAUCAUGUCGAGCUUAAGCACACAGAACCGGUUGCUCUUGAUCCUUCUAGACUUCAUAUAGUGCAAACAUUCAUAAGCUGUUAUAAAAUUAUCCGUGAUGAGACGUCCAGGAACGAAGGCCGACUGCUCUUCAGAAAUUACCUCGGGGAGAAUAACCUUCAACCUGUUAGCUAAGACCUUUGACGCGAUUUUGUAAACCACGUUGCAAAGGCUUAUAAGUCGAAAUUGUCCUAAGAGUUUUGGACUUGCUAUCUUGGGAAUAAGAACGAUGAACGUGCGGUUUAUAUCCUCCGGUGAGUCCUCUCCAUUGAGCACCCGUAUGAUCAUGCCUGUAAUCUCGUCUCCACAUAGCUCCCAGUGCCUCUGGAAAAAGUGGGCCAGAAAACCAUCCGGACCUGGAGCUUUUGUGGGGAACAUUUGAAACAAUGCUUUCUUAACUUCUUCUUUUGUAUACACAGCAUUCAGACGAGCAUUCAUGGCCCCAUCCACUCGAGAUGGUAUAUGUGAGAGUACCUCCUCGAUGCCAAUGGCUCCUUCGGAUGUGUAUAGUUGCUCAUAGAAGUUACUGGCCAUGCCGACCAUCUCCUCGGGAUUAGAAGUAUCAGAACCAUCCACUCUAGUCAGGCUCGUGAUUGUGUUUUUUGCUCUCCUCGCACUUGCCUUCUUCUGAAAAUACUAAGUGUUACUAUCUCCUUCUGACAGCUAACGGAUCCUAGACCGUUGCCGCAUCAUGAUCUCUUCCCUGUAACACAGUUCAACUAUCCAGUCCUGGACCUGUUUCUCCUCUGCCCCCGGUCCAACACGAUCGGUUACAGCCCUCAAAUCCGCUAGCUUCCGGCGUAGAUCGCGGAGCUCCCCUCGGACCGAACCACAAGUGGUUCAUCCCCACUGCUUUAAAGAUGUUGCCACGUUCGUUAGUUUUUCCGAUAGUUCAUGUACAGUAGUAGCUGGUUGGUCCCCCCGCCAAGCACGCUCGACUGUUGUAGAGAAAGAACCUUCCUGCUCCCACAUGCAUUCAUACCUGAAAGGCUUCUUCAAGGCCAGCCUCAGAUUAUUUGACUCCAACUCAUUAAGCAACAGAAUAGGGCUGUGAUCUGAUUUCGCUGCUGUUAGAUGCUCAAGGGAAGCGAAAGGAAACAUAGAAGACCAGCUUGGGGUAGCCAAGGCCCGAUCAAGACGAACCCUGCAGUAAUCUCCCCCAACAAUUAUUUUCUCAAAAGUCCAAUCCAAUCCCUUGUAACCAAGAUCUGCCAAUUCACACACAUCUACAGCUUCUCUAAACCCUGCAAUCUGUGCACUGUCCCUCUCAUUUGGGCCUAGUUGUUCCUCAGGCCUUAAAAUCUCAUUGAAGUCACCUAUGCAAACCCAUGGAAAAGAAUUUUCUCCUCUUAAGAACUUCAUCGUAUCCCAAGUUUUAUACCUCAAACUUCUGUUCGCCGCCCCAUAAAAGCAUGAUAGGCGCCACGGGUCCUUCCCUGUCUCAGUAACUACCGAGUCAAUGUGAUACUGAGAAAAGGUUUUUAUUUCAAGAUCUAUAUUAUUCUUCCAGUACAAGCAUAGACCUCCACUUCGACCACUACUCGCUACUCCAAAGUUACUAGAAAACCCUAAGCUACCCGCCAAACCUUCCACCCUGUACUUCGCAAGCUGUGUCUCAACAAUGCAAAGUACCAUCGGCGCACAAGCCUCCACAAGAUCGCGGAGCUCUCGAACUGUCGCGGGAUCGCCAAUCCCACGACAGUUCCAACAUAGGGUCCUCAUUGUGCUCGGCGGCCUCCCUGUCGGAGGCCGCCUGAGAUGACAACUCCAUGCCUUCCCCACCUACUUUCUCCUCUUGCUUCCGACGCUUCACAAUAGGAACCUUCCCCGGGGUUGUCGGUUUAGCACCCGUGGAAGUAGUGCCUGGUCCAUUCUCCAAGCACAAAACUGCAUUGACCACCUUCCCUGCAAGAUUGGGAAGGUUUUGCCCAUGGAUAUUGACAGUGCCGUUAGAAGAUACCAGCCUCUUGCGUACUAUUCUGUUCUCGUCCCCUGUGUGGUGACUUGCAGAAGCAGUCUCCAUAGGCACUUGAUCCCAGUCAUCCUCCUCACUUCCCCUUCCCUCAUUACCCUCUCCUCUCUCUUGCCUACCGCCUCUAGCACCUCUGCCACCUGUCCUUCCUCCUCUACUCCCUCCAUCCAUACCUCGUCCUCCUAUUGCAUACCUCACCGGAUCACCGUUCCACAGCAGCCAACUCCCCCAUUCACAGGUGCGAGGGUCAUGAAUCCCAUCGCCACAUUCCUCCACCGAGUGUCCCAUAAGACCGCAGAAGAAACAGAAUUCUGGCAGCCUUUCAUAGUAGACCGGAUAUUUCUUGCGCUCUUUCAAUGUAAUUGGGACAAAACGAACCAAAGGUUUAUUGACAUCCACAUAAACUCUGACUCGUAGAGUGCUUGAGGGAUUGAUUUUUCCUUCGUUCACAAUAACAGUAAACGGUGGUUCUCCUACUUUAGCCGCAACCUUUUCAGCUAAUGCCUUCUUCGUUGUCAGACCAUCCGGGAGCCCUUUGAUCCUAGCCCAAAGUGGAAUCUUGUUUAAUUUGUACUCUGAAACAUCUGUGAAGCCAUCGUACUCCUGUAUGACAACAGGAGCCGAGUUGCGGAAUAUCCACGGGCCGCCUUCCAUGAUCCUUUUCCAAUCACCUAGCAAUGGCACUGAACCAGAAAUAAAUUUGGCCCCUUCACAUUGAAAGUUACUCCUUGCGCCGAAGCCCACGCGUUCCUCAUCUGCCUCAACAACGCAGAAUGACUGAAGGGCUUUGUGGUAUGAACACGGAAGAGCCCUAGCCAGCAAACUCCCUUGAUCAGCUCGUCCACUUCCUCAGACAGAUCCAGAUCGUAUUCUUCCUCUCCGUGCAGAUGCAUCCCCGCAAACUGAUCUUCAAGAUCGGCCUCCGGUCCAUACGAAUCACCUAGCUCCUCUUCGUCCAGAUCGGUUUCCUUCAAACCAUCUACCUCACCUCCCAUCUCUUCCCUAGCCUCCGCCUCCUUCGCUUGAUUCAGCCUGCUGCACUCCCCCUUCUCCAGAUCACCCAUGUUCUCCAUACCUGCUACUACCUCCUUCUCCUUCCUAAUCUCUUCCCUCACGCUCGUCGCCUUCGGUAAACUGGCCAUGCAGAUCAAGCUCCGCAUGCCUGACAGUGUUGCGCUCCCGACUAGCCGAACAGAUCCGGCCGCCGUGGAGGAUUUACGUGGACUCCGGUGGUAGCCGCCGGAGGAUAGGUGGAACCCUAGAAUCGCCUAGGGGAAAGUCAUCAUCGUUUGUUCAGAACAUUAAAUAUUUGUUCCCAUUCCAAAAUGGUCGCAAAUUUGCACAAGGCGUCCGGGCUGGGCUGAACCGUCUUGUUUUUUUAUUCUAUGUUAUGUUUCUGUUUUUCUUUUUCCAUUUAUGUCUAUUUUUCUUUCCUAUUCUUUUUUUCAAGUUUAUUUUUCUUUCUCCCUUUUUUCGUAAAUUAAAAUUUUUCAUAAAAGUUCAUAAUAUCAAUAAAAUCUAUUUUAAAAAAUGUUCAGGAUUUUAAAAUAUAUACCUUUUUGAAAAAUGUUCAGAACAUUAAAUCUUUGUUCUCAUUCAAAAAUUAGUUUAGAUUUUUAAAACAAUGUUCCAUUUUUUCCUUUGUGGUUUCCAAAGUUGUUCGAGAUUCUUUGAAAAAAGAAUUUAAAAAAUGUUCCAAAUAUGAAAAAUAUUCUUGUUUUAAUGAAAUGUUUGCAAAUUCAGAAUAAUGUCAAGAAACACAUUUUCAAAAAAUUGUUCUGAAUGUUCAAAAUAUGUUUCAUUUUUCAAAAAAAAUCACAUAUUCAAAACAUGUUCAUGUUAUUAUAAAAGGUUUAUGUUUUCAAAUAAAAUUGUGGAUUUUGAGUGUUUUAUAUUUUGUUGUGUAUUUGUGAAAAUGUAAAGAAUUUCAAAAAAUGUUGGGGAUUUUCAAAAUUAUUCAUGUUUUCAGGAAUGUUCAACAAUUUAUAUUUUUUAAACAGUUCAAAAAAAAUGUUUCCAAUCUGACCUUAGAGUAUGAUCUUAAAGGUUUGAGCUGGCCAAUGCUUGGUAGGACUCAUUUCUUUGAGUGGCUAGCAGCAUGUAGUCAGGUCUUUGAGGGCAUGAUUUUGAUCCCUCAACUCAUCAUUUUUUGAAUUUUUUUUCGUGCCUACUAACACAGGUCGUCUUGGUGCCUACCAGUGUGCGCCCCAUGCGCUAUUUUACGCAACUAGCGUCAUAUAGUAGCCCCCAUGCAGUUGGCCCAAGAAACAAAUUGCUCCGUCGCAUAGGUUGUAUUAUGCCUCAACCGCGCUCCCCUACUGGGUCGUUCGAGGGAGCAAUUUUUUUCCUUGGGCCAAUAAAAAAGAAUAUAUUGGUUUGGCUCGAAUAAAAAAACUGGGCACGCGAGUGCUAAAAUAAUCAAAGAGAAUAAACCCUAAUAGAGAAGGGACAUUGGUGUCUGGUUAUGCGCUAAAUAUGCUAAUGAAAUGGGAUUUAUGCGCUACAAUUAGUAAUCCAUCCGGUUAUGCCAUCGUAAGAAAGAAUGGUCGAAGCAACUGUGCCCCGAAAGUGACCGCAUAGCUACCAAAUGAGGAGGCAGACACAACCCCUAGACAGAGGCGGACCCCAAAGAGAAAAGACACGAGUUGGAUGGUUGCCGCCACGCCGACUAACGCCACUACUAUCAAGAUCUCGCGGAACAAACAUGACCCACGAGAAGACCACAACUCCUCUCUCUAUUGCACCGCUAUGGAGAUAAUUUUUGAUGGACACAUCAAUUAUCUCUCCCAUUGCUUCUCCAAAGAAACAUCUCUCCCUUUGCAAGACACGGGCAUAUGUGCUAGUAACAUUAAAGAGCAUACAAGGUCAUUUAUUCAUAGUUACAUAGCAAGCAGGAACAUCCAUCAUGGCAUCAUCCAUGACUGCAUGAACCAUGCAGGAAGAGACUGCUUCUCUUUUUAGGUUCCUCGGUAUGACUACUUUCUGCAUCACCAUUUGCCGAUGAGUAUAUUCCUUCUUUUUUGCGAAAAUGAUUGAGAUUCCAAGAUCUCCAAACAACCACUACUGCCACCAAAACGGGCCGCCGACGCGCCUAUGUCGCCACUCCCCUACUGGAGCCGGCAUGACCUUGUCAAUGACAGCCAGGAAGUCUUCAUGCAUGUGACCCUAAGGACCAAUGCCCUGGAGCCGUAGUCUUCACCAUUGAACCCUUGCAUAUAUCUAUAGCACCGGACACCAAAUCUCUCCAAAAGAGGAGAAACCAUAACCUCACCACCCCAAAGAGAUGCCAGGAAUCUAUGUGAGAGCUCCAUCGACUACGUCUAGAUAGACGCACUCGAGGAGGAUCGGAACCCGGAAGACAAACUAAGAAGUAGCGCCGCCAUCUGCCCAAGCACCGCACCUGCAAGGACUAAACAACCAUAACCUAAACUACUAACCAUAGCGGAGGCACCGACAUUCCCCUCCCUGCCACCGGCCGCCGGAGUGGCACACAGAGGGGAGGCGAAUCCAUGGGCUCGCAGGAGAAGUUUGGAGAGAACGGUUUACCCUAGCCCCAUAUGGUUAGGAAGGAAACAAAAUAAAUGAUUUACCUGAGAACAAACAGAUUAUUGAGCAUAUUGUGGCUUGGCAGAUAUAAAAAUUGUCAAGAACAUCAUAUUAGCAAUAUUUAGUUGGUUCAAUAUAAUGGUACAAUGGUAGAUUUUGUUUCAUUUAUCUAUGUAAUGGAAGACCAUAAAAAUUGAAAUGACUCGCGAGAAACUUACCAGAGUUGUUCCAUGGUCUUUGUAGACAUGCACCUUGUAUACAACUCCAGAAAAAACAUGCUUAGUGGAUAAGCUUCCAUAUGAGUUGACAAAUGAUCACCAACAGUAGUGUGAACAAACAGUACUCACCAUUUUAAUUCAAUUUCUUUAUGGGAACACAUCAAGCUUGGAAAAACUUGGGUAAGUCCAAUUUCGUCCAUCAUCUUGGGUAAAAGAAUCUUGUGUGCCAUGAAAAAAAAUACAUAACCAAAUUGAAGAUAUUUAGGCCCGUGAACAAAUAACCAGCUAAAUCCAAAGAAGGCCGGAAGCAAAUCUUCAAUAUUUAAGCAGGCCUAAAGUCGAAAAGAAAUAAUGUACAUAAGGGGAAGAUAAAAUGACAACAUUUGGCAAAGUUUAUGGAGAUUACUAAUAUAGGCAUCAUUUGUAGAGAAAUAAAUGGAUAGAUCACAAGAGUAAUCGUAGCAUCAGGCACUCGAUCCAGACCUCGUUGCUGUAACCGCAAUUAGAAGAGUCAUUCAUUUAUUAAAAUUUCUGCCGAGUGUAGGGGACUAGUCCUUGUUGGUUACCUUUUGAGCAAUUUGAUAAAAUGGUACACUUUUCAUGAGAGUUUUGAUCCCAUUGUUUCACUUGAGAUACUUAUUGAUUGUGCCUCUCCUGAACAUUUUUGGCGCAUUAGUGGUGGAAAUAUGCCCUAGAGGCAAUAAUAAAGUUGUUAUUUUAUAUUUCCUUUAUCAUGAUAAAGGUUUAUUAUUCAUUCUAGAAUUGUAUUGAUCGAAAACUUAAACACAUGUGUGAAUACAUAAACAAAUACUCUGUCCCUAGUAAGACUCUACUAGACUAGCUCGUUGAUCAAAGAUGGUUACGGUUUCCUAACCAUGGACAUGAGUUGUCAUUUGAUAACGGGAUCACAUCAUUAGGAGAAUGAUGUGAUGGACAAGACCCAUCCGUUAGCUUAGCAUAAUGAUCGUUCAGUUUUAUUUGUAUUGCUUUCUUCAUGUCAAAUGCAUAUUCCUUUGACUAUGAGAUUAUGCAACUCCCGGAUACCGGAGGAAUACCUUGUGUGCUAUCAAACGUCACAACGUAACUGGGUGGUCAUAAAGAUGUUGUACAGGUAUCUCCAGAGGUAUUUGUUGAGUUGGCAUAGAUCGAGAUUAGGAUUUGUCACUCGAGUAUCAGAGAUGUAUCUCUGGGCCCUCUUGGUAAUACACAUCAUAAGCUUGCAAGAAAAUGACUAAGGAGUUGGUCACGAGGUGAUGUAUUAUGGAAUGAGUAAAGAGACGUGCCGGUAACGAGAUUGAACUAGGUAUUAAGAUACCGACGAUCGAAUCUCGGGCAAGUAACAUACCGAUGGAUAAAGGGAAUUACGUAUGUUGUCAUAACGGCUCAACUGACAAAGAUAUUCGUAGAAUAUGGGCAUUCAGGUUCCGCUAUUGGUUAUUGACCGGAGAGGUGUCUCGGUCAUGUCUACAUAGUUCUCGAACUCGUAGGGUCUGCACGCUUAAAGUUCGUUGAUUAUAUAGUAUUAUAUGAGUUAUGUGAUUUGAUGACCGAAUGUUGUUCGGAGUCCCGGAUGAGAUCACCAACAUGACGAGGAGUCUCGAAAUGGUCGAGAGGUCAAGAUUCAUAUAUAAGACGAUAGUAUUCAGACACCGGAAGUGUUUCGGAGGGUGCCGGGUACUUAUCGGGUCACCGGAAAGGAGUUUCAGGCACCCCCGGCGAAGAUAUGGGCCUUAUGGGCAAAGAGAGAAAACACACCAGCCAUAAGAGGCUGGUGCGCCCCCCAUAGCAGGCCAGCCUAAGGAGGAGAAGGAAAAGGGGGAGGGAAAGGUAAGUGUGGAUUAGGAUUCCCACUUCCUUCCCUCUCCCCCCUCUUUCCUUCCCCCUUGGGAAUACAUGGCAAGGGGGGGCGCGGCCAGGGCAGGAGCCCUAGGGCCGGCCGGCCACCUAUGUGGUUCGCCAGGCUGCCUCCCCUCCCCCUCCCACCUAUAUAUAUGUGGGAGGGGGGGCGCCUACCACACCCCGGAUCAAUUGUUAGCCGUGUGCAGCGCCCCCCCUCCGUUGUUUACACCCCAGUCAUAUUUUCGUAGUGUUUAGGCAAAGCCCCGCGGAGAUCACACCAUCACGGUCACCAUGCCACCGUGCUGCCAGAACUCAUCUACUACCUCUCCCUCUUGCUAGAACAAGAAGGCGGACAAUGUCACCGAGCUAAAUGUGUGAUGAACGCGGAGGUGUUGGACGUUCGGUACUAGAUCGGCUGGAUCAGAGCCAGGCCUAUGCGUAGAUGAUAUGCAUGAGUAGAACACAAAGAGCUGUGGGUGGUGAUAGUCAUACUGCUUAACACCAAUGUUUUAUUUUGAUUCGGCGGUAUUGUGGGGUGAAGCGGCCUAGACCAACCUUACAUGUCCACGCACAUGAGACCGGUUCCACUGACUGACAUGCAAUUAGUUUCGUAUAAAGGUGGCUUGCGGGUGUUUGUUUCUCCUACUUUAGUUGAGUCGAAUUUGACUACGACCGGUCCUUGAAGAAGGUUAAAACAGCAAACUUGAUGAAUCACCGUUGUGGUUUUUGCCGUAGGUAAGAAUGGUUCUUGCUAGAAGCCCGUAGCAGCCACGUAAAACAUGCAACAACAAACUAGAGGAUGUCUAACUUGUUUUUGCAGGGUAUGUUGUGAUGUGAUAUGGUCAAGACAUGAUGUGAUAUAUGUUAUUGUAUGAGAUGAUCAUGUUUUGUAAUUUAUCGGCAACCGGCGGGAGCCUUAUGGUUGUCUCUUUAUUGUAUGAAAUGCAAGCGCCAUGUAAUUGCUUUACUUUAUCGCUAUGCGUUAGCCAUAGUUGUUGAAGCAAUAGUUGGCGAGACGACCACGACGCGAUGAGGGAGAUCAAGGUGUCGAGCCGGUGACAAUGGAGAUCAUGACGAUGCUUUGGAGAUGGAGACCAAAAGCACAAGAUGAUGAUGGCCAUAUCAUGUCACAUAUUUUGAUUGCAUAUGAUGUGUAUCUUUUAUGCAUCUUAUUUUGCUUAGAACGACGGUGGCAUUAUAAGAUGAUCCCUUCACUAAAUUCAAGAUAUAAGUGUGAUAACCCACAAGUAUAGGGGAUCGCAACAGUUUUCGAGGGUAGAGUAUUCAACCCAAAUUUAUUGAUUCGACACAAGGGGAGCCAAAGAAUAUUCUUAAGUAUUAGCUGUCAAUUCAACCACACCUAGAUAACUUAAUAUCUGCAGCAAAGUAUUUAGUAGCAAAGUAGUAUGGAAGUAACUGUAACAGUAGCAGUUUUGUAGUAAUUGUAACAGUGGCAACGGAAAAGUAACUAAGCAAAGAGCAAUAUGUGAAAAGCUCGUAGGCAUUGGAUCAGUGAUGCAUAAUUAUGUCGGAUGCGAUUCCUCAUGUAAUAUUUAUAACAUAGGGUGACACAGAACUAGCUCCAGAUCAUCAAUGUAAUGCAGGCAUGUAUUCCAAAUAUAGUCAUAUGUGCUUAUGGAAAAGAACUUGCAUGACAUCUUUUGUCCUACACUCCCGUGGCAGUGGAGUCCUAUUGGAAACUAAGGGAUAUUAAGGCCUCCUUUUAAUAGAGUACCGGACAAAAGCAUUAACACUUAUUGAAUACAUUAACUCCUCAACUACGGUCAUCACCAAGAGUGGUCCCGAUUAUUGUCACUUCGGGGUUGUUGGAUCAUAACACAUAAUAGGUGAAUAUAGACUUGCAAUAUAGGAUCAAGAACUCAGAUAUAUUCAUGAAAACAUAAUAGCUUCAGAUCUGAAAUCAUGGCCCUCGGUCCCUAGUGACAAGCAUUAAGCAUAGCAAAGUCAUAGCAACAUCAAUCUCGGAACAUAGUGGAUACUAGGGAUCAAACCCUAACAAAACUAACUCGAUUACAUGGUAAAUCUCAUCCAACCCAUCACCGUCCAGCAAGCCUACGAUGGAAUUACUCACGCACGGCGGUGAGCAUCAUGAAAUUAGUGAUGGGGGAUGGUUGACGAUGACAACAGCGAUGGAUUCCCCUCUCCGGAGCCCCAAACAGACUCCAGAUCAGCCCUCCUAAGAGAGUUUAGGGCUUGGCGGCGGCUCCGUAUUGUAAAACGCGAUGAAUCCUUCUCUCUGAUUUUUUCUCCCCGGACGUGAAUAUAUGGAGGUUGACGUGAGGUCGGUGGAGCUCCAGGGGGGCCACAAGGCAAGGGGGCGCGCCCAGGGGCUAGGCGCGCCCCCACCCUCGUGGACGGGGUGUGGGCCCCCUAACGUUGAUUCUUUCGCCAAUAUUUUUUAUUAAUUCCAAAAAGUUGCUCCAUGGAUUUUCAGGUCAUUCCGAGAAAUUUUAUUUCUGCACAAAAAUAACACCAUGGCAGUUCUGCUGAAAACAGAGUCAGUCCGGGUUUCCAUUCAAAUCAUGCAAGUUAGAGUCCAAAACAAGGGCAAAAGUGUUUGGAAAAGUAGAUACGAUGGAGAUGUAUCAACUCCCCCAAGCAUAAACCUUUGCUUGUCCUCAAGCAAUUCAGUUGACAAACUGAAAGUGAUAAAGAAAAACUUUUACAAACUCUGUUUGCUCUUGUUGUUGCAAAUAUGUAAAGCCAGCAUUCAAGUUUUCAGCAAAGAUUAUGAACCAACCAUAUUCACAAUAACACUUAGGUCUCAUAUUUACUCAUAUCAAUGGCAUAAUCAGCUAGCGAGCAAUAAUAAUAAAACUCAUAUGACAACACUUUCUCAAAACAAUCAUAAUAUAAUAUAACAAGAUGGUAUCACACUAGCCCUUUCUGAGACCGCAAAACAUAAAUGCAGAGUACCUCCGAAGAUCAAGGACUGACUAAACAUUGUAAUUCAUGGUAUAAGAGAUCCAUUCAUAGUCAUAUUCAAUAUAAAUUAAUAGUAAUGCAUGCAAAUGACAGCGGUGCUCUCCAACUGGUGCUUUUUAGUAAGAGGAUAUUGACUCAACAUAAAAGUAAAUAGAUAGGCCCUUCGCAGAGGGAAGCAGGGAUUUGUAGAGGUGCCAGAGCUCGAUUUUGAAAUAGAGAUAAAUAAUAUUUUGAGCGGUAUACUUUCAAUGUCAACAUAACAACUGAGAGAUCUCGAUAUCUUCCAUCGUACACACAUUAUAGGCGGUUCCCAAACAGAAUGGUAAAGUUUAUACUCCCUCACCACCAAUAAUCAUCAACCCAUGGCUUGCCCGAAAAAACGGGUGCCUCCAACUAACAUCAAUCCUAGGGGAAUUUUCUUUGCAUUUAUUAUGAUUUGAGCAUGGGACUGGGCAUCCCGGUUACCGACCAUUUUCUUGUGAGUGAGGAGCGGAGUCCACUCCUCUUGAUAAUAACCCGCCUAGCAUGGAAGAUACAGACAGCCCUUGUUGAUACAUGAGCUGUUCGAGCAUACAAAACAGAAUUUCAUUUGAAGGUUUAGAGUUUGGCACAUACAAAUUUACUUGGAACGGCAGGUAGAUACCGCAUAUAGGAAGGUAUGGUGGACUCAUAUGGAAUAACUUUUUAUGGACUUUGGAUGCACAAGCAGUAUUCCCGCUUAGUACAAGUGAAGGCUAGCAAGAGACUAGGAAGCGACCAACUAGAGAGCGACAACAGUCAUGAACAUGCAUUAAAAUUAAUCAACACUGAGUGCAAGCAUGAGUAGGAUAUAAUCCACCAUGAACAUAAAUAUCGUUGAGGCUAUGUUGAUUUUGUUUCAACUACAUGCGUGAACAUGUGCCAAGUCAAGCCACUCGAAUCAUUCAAAGAAGGAUACCACCCUAUCAUACCACAUCACAACCAUUUUAAUAGCAUGUUGGCACACAAGGUAAACCAUUAUAAACUCCUAGCUAAUUAAGCAUGGCAUAAGCAACUAUAAUCUCUAAUUGUCAUUGCAAACAUGUUUAUUCAUAAUAGGCUGAAUCGGGAAUGAUGAACUAGUCAUAUUUAGAAAAACAAGAUAGGUCGAGUUCAUACCAGCUUCUCUCAUCUCAAUCAGUCCAUCAUAUAUCGUCAUUAUUGCCUUUCACUUGCAUGACUGAACGGUGUGGAUAAUUAUAAUAGUGCACGUGCAUUGGACUAAGCUGGAAUCUGCAAGCGUUCAAUCAAGGGAAGACACGAUAAUAUGGGCUCUUGGUUAAAUCAAUAAUAAUGCAUAUAAGAGCCACUCAACAUUUUCAUCAAGUUCUUCUCCUCUCGACCCCCAAAGAAAAGAAAAGAAAUAAAACUAUUUACACGGGAAAGCUCCCAACAAGCAAAAGAAGAACUAGAAAUCCUUUUGGGUUUUCUUUUAAUUACUACUACUACAGGCAUGGAAAGUAAACUAGCUAAAAGCUAACUAAUUUUUUUUCUUAAGGUUAUUCAAACACACAAUAAGAAAGCAAGAAAAAGAAAAUAAACUAGCAUGGAUAGUACAAUGAAAAAGUAUGAGCACCGACAACUAGAAUGAGUGUGUGAACAUGAAUGUAAUGUCGGUGAGAAAUACGUACUCCCCCAAGCUUAGGCUUUUGGCCUAAGUUAGUCUAUGCCCAUGGAUUGGAGCUACUCUCUCCGGUGUACUGAGGAGUGUCAUCCGAGUGCCACUGGCUGGCGAUCUCCUUCGGAUCCCACUGAUAAAAGGACUGUCGAUAAGGGUCAAGUGGUGGUUCCGGCUCAGUCUCUCGAGCUGGUGUCUGGCUCCGGUAUGCGUGAACGACCUCCGGCAAGAUGAGGUAUGUGCCUGAAGAUAAGUCAAAAAAAGAGGGUGCAGGCAAGAUAAUAGUCUCACUGUGAGUUCUAUUAAAUCUCAAAUUAUACUUAAGCAUCAUCUCAUAAUUUUUAACAAUAAAUUCAUGUGCUACCAUACUCUUAUAAUCUAGAAAAAUAGAGGGCAGCAACUUUUCCUCUUUCUCAUAAUGUCUAAUUGGUAUCCUAAAGUGUUUAGCAAGGCGUGAAGCAAAGAUGCCUCCAAAGAUGGGGCCCUUUGUACGAUACAGACUUAAUCGAUUAGCAACAAUAGCACCUAAACUAAUAGUGUUAUCGCGAAACAAAGCAUGGCACAAAAUAACAAUAUCAGGGGCAAUAAGGUUUCCACAGUUCCCGCGACCAAUUAAGCAUCUACUAGCAAAUAUUGCAAAGUAACGUAGAACAGGAAAGUGUAUGCUAGUAAUUCUUGCAUCGGAAACCUUCCUUGUUUCCCCUACAUCAAUCAUAUCAAUGAAUCCAUCCACAUCACUACGAUGUGGUUCCUCUAUGUUGCCCUCAAAGGGUACCUUGCAAACCCCACAGAAAUCAUAUAGUGACAUCUCCCUAACUUCAUCAUAUAAAUGAGACUCCACUGAAGGUGAUGAUUUCUUAGCAUGAAAGUAAAAUUUUUGGACGAAAGUAUUAGUGAGUAGGAGAUACUGAUCGAGCUGGUCGUGGAGGAAGUCGGUGAGGCCUGCAUUAUCAGCCAAAGAAUAAAAAUCAUCCUGAAUCCCGACUUUUUUCAAGAACUCAUCACAAGACCAUUCACACGGCCGAACCUCUGCGACGCGAGGGAGAUUAUAUUUGGGCUUUUUAUUCUCCUUAUUUUGUUUAUCCUUCGAGCUUUGGCUCGAAGAUCCCCUCAAAAACCUCUUCAUCAUUUUCUGAAAAUUUCUGAAAUUUUUAGUAACUCAAAAUAAAAGUGAACCAAACUCAACAAAAUUGAUAGCAACUACUCCCACAAGUGCCUAGAGACUAUAUCAUGCAUUAAAAAUACUUGGGACCAUAUAAAUUUGACAUGCAAGCUCAAGAACAGGGUCACCUUAGCAGGAAAAAAUUGCAAUGAAUAAAGCACUAGAACAAAAUUUGCAAUGAAUAAAGCACUAGGAAAAAUUGAUAGCAACUACUCCCACAAGUGCCUAGAGACUAUAUCAUGCAUUAAAAUACUUGGGACCAUAUAAAUUUGACAUGCAAGCUCAAGAAUAGGGUCACCUUAGCAGGAAAAAUUUGCAAUGAAUAAAGCACUAGAACAAAAACUAAUUGAACCAUUGGAGGAGUCACAUACCAAAGAACAAUCCCCCAAAGCAAUUUUGUGAUUGGAGCUUUGAGCAAGGAGACCGAAAAUGGCAGCAAGAUGAGCUAGAACUCGUGCUUGAACUGGUUGGUGAUUUUUUGGGAGGAAGAAGUAGUGUGUGGGUGUAGGAAUGAGUGGAGGGGGGCCACCAGGGGCCCAUGAGGCAGGGGAUGCGCCCAGGGGGGUAGGGAGCGCCUUGGACCCUCGUGGCCAGGUGCUUGCUCCCCCUAAUGUGUUCUCAGUGCCAGAUAUUCUCAAAUAUUCUAGAAAAAAUCAUAUUUCGUUUUCAGGGCAUUUGGAGAACUUUUAUUUUUGGGGUAUUUUUUAUUGCAUGGAUAAAUCAGAAAAUAGACAGAAAAUACUAUUUUUGCUUUAUGUAAUCUAAAUAACAGAAAGUAAAAGGAGGGUACAGAAGGUUUUGCUUUCUAACUUCAUCCAUCUCAUCCUCAUCAAAAGGAAUCCACUAACAAGGUUGAUCAAGUCUUGUUAACAAACUCAUUCCGAAUCGCAUGAAACCGGAGAAUUUUCGAAUAGCACUAGGUUACCUCAACGGGGAUAUGUACAUCCCCAAUAGUAAGAAUAUCAUAUUUCUUCUUGAUAGUAGGAAGAGGAAAUUCAAAACCUCCAAUAAUAAUCAAUGGAAUUUUUCCAAUAGAAUUGAUACUGUGAACUUGAGGUUGUUUCCUCGGAAAGUGUACCAUAUGCUCAUUACCAUUAACAUGAAAAGUGACAUUGCCUUUGUUGCAAUCAAUAAUAGCCCUUGCAGUAUUCAAAAAAGGUCUACCAAGGAUAAUCGACAUACUAUCGUCCUCGGGAAUAUCAAGAAUGACAAAGUCCGUUAAAAUAGUAACAUUUGCAACCACAACAGGCACAUCCUCACAAAUACCGACAUGUAUAGCAGUUGAUUUAUCGGCCAUUUGCAAAUAUAUUUCAGUAGGUGUCAACUUAUUCAAUUCAAGUCUACGAUAUAAAGAGAGAGGCAUCACACUAACACCGGCUCCAAGAUCACAUAAAGCAGUUUUAACAUAGUUUCUUUUAAUGGAGCAUGGUAUAGUUGGUACUCCUGGAUCUUCUAGUUUCUUAGGUAUUCCUCCCUUAAUUAGCAAGCAUGGUGGAAAUUUCUGCUUCCGGUAUCUUUCUUUUAUUUGUAACAAUAUCUUUCAUGUACUUAGCAUAAGGAUUCAUUUUAAGCAUAUCAGUCAAAUGCAUACGCAAAAAGAUAGGUCUAAUCAUUUCAGCAAAGCGCUCAAAAUCCUCAUCAUCCUUUUUCUUGGAUGGUUUAGGAGGAAAAGGCACGGGUUUCUGAACCCAUGGUUCCCUUUCUUUACCAUGCUUCCUAGAAACGAAGUCUCUCUUAUCAUAACGUUGAUUCUAUGAUUGUGGGUUAUCAAGAUCAACAGCAGGUUCAACCUCUAUAUCAUUGUUAUUGCUAGGUUGAGCAUCAACAUGAACAUCAUCAUUAACAUUAUCACUGGGUUCAAGUUCAUCACCAAAUUGUGUUUCAGCAUCAGAAAUACAAAUAUCAUUGGGAUUCUCAGGUGUGUCUACAACAGGUUCACUAGAAGCAUGCAAAGUCCUAUCAUUUUUCUUCUUCUUCUUAGAAGGACUAGGUGCAUCAACAUUAUUUCUCUGAGAAUCUCGCUCAAUUCUCUUAGGGUGGCCCUCAGGAUACAAAGGUUCCUGAGUCAUUUUAUCACCUCUAGUCAUAACUCUAACAACAUUAUCAUUUUUCUUAUUAUUUAAUUCAUUGGGAAAAUCAUUUUGAGCUUUAAGCACUUGUUCUACUUGAGUGGUAACCAUAGAAGCAUGUUUACUAAUGAGUCUAAGUUCACCCUUAACUCUAGACAUAUAAUCACUCAAGUGUCCAAACAUAUAAGCAUUACUUUUCAAUUGUCUACCAACAUAAGCAUUGAAGUUUUCUUGUCUAGCCAUAAUAAAGUCAUCAAACUCAUCCAAGCAUUGGCUAGCAAACUUAGUAGACGGGAUUUCAACUUUAUCAAAUCUAUAGAAAGAAUUUACCUAUACUACCUGUGUCGGGUUAUCAAGGCCAUGUAUUUCUUCAACAGGAGGUAAAUUCUUAACAUCUUCAGCUUUAAUACCUUUUUCUUUCAUAGAUUUCUUUGCCUCUUGCAUAUCUUCUGGACUGAGAAAUAGAACACAUCUUUUCUUCGGAGUUGGCUUAGGAGUUAGUUCAGGAAGUGUCCAAUUAUUUUCAUUAGUGAACAUAUUAUUCAAUAGCAAUUCAGCUUGAUCGACUGUUCUUUCCCUGAAAACACAACCAUCACAACUAUCCAGGUGGUCUCUCGAAGCAUCGGUUAGUCCAUUAUAAAAGAUAUCAAGUAUUUCAUUUUUCUUGAGAGGAUGGUCAGGCAAAGCAUUAAGUAAUCGGAGAAGCCUCCCUCAAGCUUGUGGGAGACUCUCUUCUUCAAUUUGCACAAAAUUAUAUAUUUCCCUUAAGGCAGCUUGUUUCUUAGGAGCGGGGAAAUAUUCAGCAGAGAAGUAAUAAAUCAUAUCCUGGGGACAACGCACACAACCAGGAUCAAGAGAAUUAAACCAUGUGUUUAGCAUCACCCUUUAAUGAUAAUGGAAAUAACUUAAGGAUAUAAUAGUAGCUAGUUUUCUCAUCAUUAGUGAAUAGGGUGGCUAUAUCAUUUAACUUAGUAAGAUGUGCCACAAUAGUUUCAGAUUCAUAGCCAUAAAAAGGAUCAGAUUCAACUAAAGUAAUUAUCUUAGGAUCGACAAAGAAAUCAUAAUCCUUAUUAGUAACACAGAUAGGUGAAGUAGCAGAAGCAGGGUCAUAUUUCAUUCUAGCAUUCAGAGACUUUUCUUUAAGCUUGGCUAAUAAUUUCUUAAGAUCAGAUCUACAAGCAAGAAAAUCUCUAGCAGUUUCUUCAUCCAUAACAUAACCCUCAGGCACAACAGGCAAUUCAUAUCUAGGGGGAGAAUCUUCAUCAUCACUUUCAUCAAUAUUAUCAGUUUCAAUAAUUUCAUUCUCUCUAGCCCUAGCAACUUGUUCAUCAAGAAAUUCACCUAAUGGAACAGUAGUAUCAAGAAUAGAAGUAGUUUCAUCAUAAGUAUCAUGCAUAGCAGAAGUGGCCUCAUCAAUAACAUGCGACAUAUCAGAAUUAAUAGCAUAAGCAGGUUUAGGUGUUGCAAGCUUACUCAAAACAAAAGGUGAAUCAAGUGCAGAGCUAGAUGGCAGUUCCUUACCUCCCCUCGUAGUUGAGGGAAAAAUCUUAGUUCUCUCGUCUUUCAAGUUCCUCAUAGUGAUCAGCAUAUAUAAAUCCCAAGUGACUCAAAGAAUAGAGCUAUGCUCCCCGGCAACGGUGCCAGAAAAUAGUCUUGAUAACCCACAAGUAUAGGGGAUCGCAACAGUUUUCAAGGGUAGAGUAUUCAACCCAAAUUUAUUGAUUCGACACAAGGGGAGCCAAAGAAUAUUCUUAAGUAUUAGCAGUUGAGUUGUCAAUUCAACCACACCUGGAUAACCUAAUAUCUGCAACAAAGUAUUUAAUAGCAAAGUAGUAUGGAAGUAACAGUAACAGUAGCAGUUUUGUAGUAAUUGUAACAGUGGCAACGGUAAAAUAACGAAGCAAAGAGCAAUAUGUGAAAAGCUCGUAGGCAUUGGAUCAGUGAUGGAUAAUUAUGUCGGAUGCGAUUCCUCAUGUAAUAGUUAUAACAUAGGGGGACACAAAACUAGCUCCAGUUCAUCAAUGUAAUGUAGGCAUAUAUUCCGAAUAUAGUCAUACGUGCUUGUGGAAAAGAACUUGCACGACAUCUUUUGUCCUACCCUCCCGUGGCAGCGGGGUCCUAUUGAAAACUAAGGAAUAUUAAGGCCUCCUUUUAAUAAAGUACCAGACCAAAGCAUUAACACUUAGUGAAUACAUGAACUCGUCAAACUACGGUCAUCAUCGAGUGUGAUCCCGAUUAUUGUCAUUUCGGGGUUGUCGGAUCAUAACACAUAAUAGGUGAAUAUAGACUUGCAAGAUAGGAUCAAGAACUCACAUAUAUUCAUGAAAACAUAAUAGGUUCAGAUCUGAAAUCAUGGCACUCAGGCCCUAGUGACAAGCAUUAAGCAUAGCAAAGUCAUAGCAACAUCAAUCUCAGAACAUAAUGGAUACUAGGGAUAAAACCCUAACAAAAUUAACUCGAUUACAUGGUAAAUCUCAUCCAACCCAUCACCGUCCAGCAAGCCUAUGAUAAACUUACCAGAGUUGUUCCAUGGUCUUUGUGGACAUGCACCUUGUAUACAACUCCAGAAAAAGCAUGCUUAGUGGAUAAGCUUCCAUAUGAGUUGACAAAUGAUCACCAACAGUAGUGCGAACAAAUAGUACUCACCAUUUUAAAUCAAUUUCUUUAUGGGGACACAUCAAGCUUGGAAAAACUUGGGUAAGUACAAUUUCGUCCAAAUACAUCAUCUUGGGUAAAAGAAUCUUGUGUGCCGUGAAAAAAAAUACAUAACCAAAUUGAAGAUAUUUAGGCCCGUGAACAAAUAACCAGCUAAAUCCAAAGAAGGCCGGAAGCAAAUCUUCAAUAUUUAAGCAGGCCUAAAGUCGAAAAGAAAUAACGUACAUAAGGGGAAGAUAAAAUGACAACAUUUGGCAAAGUUUAUGGAGAUUACUAAUAUAGGCAUCAUCUAUAGAGAAAUAAAUGGAUAGAUCACAAGAGUAAUCGUAGCAUCGGGCACUCGAUCUAGACCUCGUUGAUGUAACCGCAAUUAGGAGAGCCGUUCAUUUAUUAAAAUUUCUGCCGAGUGUCGGGGACUAGUCCUUGUUGGUUACCUUUUGAGCAAUUAGAUAAAAUGGUACACUUUUCAUGAGAGUUUUGAUCCCAUUGUUUCACUUGAGAUACCUAUUGAUUGUGCCUCGCCUGAAUAUUUUUGGCGCAUUAGUGGAGGAAAUAUGCCCUAGAGGCAAUAAUAAAGUUGUUAUUUUAUAUUUCCUUAUUCAUGAUAAAGGUUUAUUAUUCAUGCUAGAAUUGUAUUGAUCAAAAACUUAAAUACAUGUGUGAAUACAUAAACAAAUACCGUGUCCCUAGUAAGCCUCUACUAGACUAGCUCGUUGAUCAAAGAUGGUUAAGGUUACCUAACCAUGGACAUGAGUUGUCAUUUGAUAACGGGAUCACAUCAUUAGGAGAAUGAUGUGAUGGACAAGACCCAUCUGUUACCUUAGCAUAAUGAUCGUUCAGUUUUAUUGAUAUUGCUUUCUUCAUGUCAAAUGCAUAUUCCUUUGACUAUGGGAUUAUGCAACUCCCGGAUACCGGAGGAAUACCUUGUGUGCUAUCAAACAUCACAACAUAAUUGGGCAUAAAUAUGCUCUACAGGUAUCUCCGGAGGUAUUUGUUGAGUUGGCAUAGAUCGAGAUUAGGAUUUGUCACUCGAGUAUCGGAGAGGUAUCUCUGGGCCCUCUCGGUAAUACACAUCAUAAGCUUGCAAGCAAAUGACUAAGGAGUUGGUCACGAGGUGAUGUAUUAUGGAAUGAGUAAAGAGACGUGCCGGUAACGAGAUUGUACUAGGUAUGAAGAUACCGACGAUCGAAUCUCGGGCAAGUAACAUACCGAUGGAUAAAGGGAAUUACAUAUGUUGUCAUAACGGCUCAACCGAUAAAGAUAUUCGUAGAAUAUGGGCAUCCAGGUUCCGCUAUUGGUUAUUGACCGGAGAGGUGUCUCGGUCAUGUCUACAUAGUUCUCGAACUCGUAGGGUCUGCACGCUUAACGUUCAUUGACAAUAUAGUAUUAUAUGAGUUAUGUGAUUUGAUGAUCGAAUGUUAUUCGGUGUCCCGGAUGAGAUCACAGACAUGACGAGGAGUCUCGAAAUGGUCGAGAGGUCAAGAUUCAUAUAUAAGACGGUAGUAUUCAGACAUCGGAAGUGUUUCGGAGGGUGCCAGGUACUUAUCGGGUCACCGGAAAGGAGAUUCGGGCACCCCCGGCAAAGAUAUGGGCCUUAUGGGCAAAGAGAGAAAACGCACCAGUUAUAAGAGGCUGGUGCGCCCCCCCAUAGCAGGCUGGCCUAAGGAGGAGAAGGAAAAGGGGGAGGGAAAGGAAAGUGAGGAUUAGGAUUCCCACUUCCUUCCCUCUCCCCCCUCUUUCCUUCCCCAUUGGGAAUACAUGGCAAGGGGGGGGGCGCGGCCAGGGCAGGAGCCCUAGGGCCGGCCGGCCACCUAUGUGGUACGCCAGGCUGCCUCCCCUCCCCCUCCCACCUAUAUAUAUGUGGGAGGGGGGCGCCUAGCACACCCCAUAUUAAUUGUUAGCUGUGAGCAGUGCCCCCCUCCGCCGUUUACACCACCAGUCAUAUUUUUGUAGUGCUUAGAAAAAGCCCAGCGGAGAUCACACCAUCACCGUCACCAUGCCACCAUGUUGCCGGAACUCACCGACUACCUCGCCAUCUUGCUGGAUGAAGAAGGCAGAGGACGUCACCGAGUUGAACGUGUGCUGAACGCGGAGGUGAUGUACGUUCGGUACUAGAUCGGUUGGAUCAGAGCCAGGCCUAUACGUAGAUGAUAUGCACGAGCAGAACACAAAGAGUUGUGGGUGGUGAUAGUCAUACUACUUACCACCAAUGUUUUAUUUUGAUUCGGCGGUAUUGUGGGGUGAAGCGGCCCAGACCAACCUUACAUGUCCACGCACAUGAGACCGGUUCCACCGAUUGACAUGCAACUAGUUUUGUAUAAAGGUGGCUGGCGGGUGUCUGUUUCUCGUACUUUAGUUGAAUCGAAUUUGACUACGACCGGUCCUUGAAGAAGGUUAUUACGGCAAACUUGAUGAACCACCGUUGUGGUUUUUGCCGUAGGUAAGAACGGUUCUUGCUAGAAGCCCGUAGCAGCCACGUAAAACUUGCAACAACAAAGUAGAGGGCGUCUAACUUGUUUUUGCAGGGUAUGUAGUGAUGUGAUAUGGUCAAGACAUGAUGUGAUAUACGUUAUUGUAUGAGAUGAUCAUGUUUUGUAAUUUAUCGGCAACCGGCAGGAGCCUUAUGGUUGUCUCUUUAUUGUAUGAAAUGCAAGCGCCAUGUAAUUGCUUUACUUUAUUGCUAUGCGUUAGCCAUACUUGUAGAAGCAAUAGUUGGUGAGACGACCACGACGUGAUGAUGGAGAUCAAGGUGUCGAGCCGGUGACAAUGGAGAUCAUGACGAUGCUUUGGAGAUGGAGAAGAAAAGCACAAGAUGAUGAUGGCCAUAUCAUGUCACAUAUUUUGAUUACAUGUGAUGUGUAUAUUUUAUGCAUCUUAUUUUGCUUAGAACGAUGGUAGCAUUAUAAGAUGAUCCCUUCACCAAAUUCAAGAUAUAAGUGUGAUAACCCACAAGUAUAGGGGAUCGCAACAGUUUUCGAGGGUAGAGUAUUCAACCCAAAUUUAUUGAUUCAACACAAGGGGAGCCAAAGAAUAUUCUUAAGUAUUAGCAGUUGAGUUGUCAAUUCAACCACACCUGGAUAACGUAAUAUCUGCAGCAAAGUAUUUAGUAGCAAAGUAGUAUGGAAGUAACGGUAACAGUAGCAGUUUUGUAGUAAUUGUAACAGUGGCAACGAUAAAAUAACUAAGCAAAGAGCAAUAUGUGAAAAGCUCGUAGGCAUUGGAACAGUGAUGGAUAAUUAUGUCGGAUGCGAUUCCUCAUGUAAUAGUUAUAACAUAGGGGGACACAAAACUAGCUCUAGUUCAUCAAUGUAAUGUAGGCAUGUAUUCCGAAUAUAGUCAUACGUGCUUGUGGAAAAGAACUUGCACGACAUCUUUUGUCCUACCCUCCCGUGGCAGCGGGGUCCUAUUGAAAACUAAGGGAUAUUAAGGCCUCCUUUUAAUAAAGUACCGGACCAAAGCAUUAACACUUAGUGAAUACAUGAACUCGUCAAACUACGGUCAUCAUCGAGUGUGGUCCCGAUUAUUGUCACUUCGGGGUUGUCGGAUCAUAACACAUAAUAGGUGAAUAUAGACUUGCAAGAUAGGAUCAAGAACUCACAUAUAUUCAUGAAAACAUAAUAGGUUCAGAUCUGAAAUCAUGGCACUCAGGCCCUAGUGACAAGCAUUAAGCAUAGCAAAGUCAUAGCAACAUCAAUCUCAGAACAUAAUGGAUACUAGGGAUAAAACCCUAACAAAAUUAACUCGAUUACAUGGUAAAUCUCAUCCAACCCAUCACCGUCCAGCAAGCCUAUGAUAAACUUACCAGAGUUGUUCCAUGGUCUUUGUGGACAUGCACCUUGUAUACAACUCCAGAAAAAGCAUGCUUAGUGGAUAAGCUUCCAUAUGAGUUGACAAAUGAUCACCAACAGUAGUGCGAACAAACAGUACUCACCAUUUUAAAUCAAUUUCUUUAUGGGGACACAUCAAGCUUGGAAAAACAUGGGUAAGUACAAUUUCGUCCAAAUACAUCAUCUUGGGUAAAAGAAUCUUGUGUGCCGUGAAAAAAAAUACAUAACCAAAUUGAAGAUAUUUAGGCCCGUGAACAAAUAACCAGCUAAAUCCAAAGAAGGCCGGAAGCAAAUCUUCAAUAUUUAAGCAGGCCUAAAGUCGAAAAGAAAUAACGUACAUAAGGGGAAGAUAAAAUGACAACAUUUGGCAAAGUUUAUGGAGAUUACUAAUAUAGGCAUCAUCUAUAGAGAAAUAAAUGGAUAGAUCACAAGAGUAAUCGUAGCAUCAGGCACUCGAUCUAGACCUCGUUGCUGUAACCGCAAUUAGGAGGGCCGUUCAUUUAUUAAAAUUUCUGCCGUGUGUCGGGGACUAGUCCUUGUUGGUUACCUUUUGAGCAAUUAGAUAAAAUGGUACACUUUUCAUGAGAGUUUUGAUCCCAUUGUUUCACUUGAGAUACCUAUUGAUUGUGCCUCGCCUGAAUAUUUUUGGCGCAUUAGUGGAGGAAAUAUGCCCUAGAGGCAAUAAUAAAGUUGUUAUUUUAUAUUUCCUUAUUCAUGAUAAAGGUUUAUUAUUCAUGCUAGAAUUGUAUUGAUCGAAAACUUAAAUACAUGUGUGAAUACAUAAACAAAUACCGUGUCCCUAGUAAGCCUCUACUAGACUAGCUCGUUGAUCAAAGAUGGUUAAGGUUACCUAACCAUGGACAUGAGUUGUCAUUUGAUAACGGGAUCACAUCAUUAGGAGAAUGAUGUGAUGGACAAGACCCAUUCGUUAGCUUAGCAUAAUGAUCGUUCAGUUUUAUUGAUAUUGCUUUCUUCAUGUCAAAUGCAUAUUCCUUUGACUAUGGGAUUAUGCAACUCCCGGAUACCGGAAGAAUACCUUGUGUGCUAUCAAACAUCACAACGUAAAUGGAUGAUCAUAAAGAUGCUCUACAGGUAUCUCCAGAGGUAUUUGUUGAGUUGGCAUAGAUCGAGAUUAGGAUUUGUCACUCGAGUAUCGGAGAGGUAUCUCUGGGUCCUCUCAGUAAUACACAUCAUAAGCUUGCAAGAAAAUGACUAAGGAGUUGGUCACGAGGUGAUGUAUUAUGGAAUGAGUAAAGAGACGUGCCGGUAACGAGAUUGAACUAGGUAUGAAGAUACCGACGAUCGAAUCUCGGGCAAGUAACAUACCGAUGGAUAAAGGGAAUUACGUAUGUUGUCAUAACGGCUCAAACAAUAAAUAUAUUCGUAGAGUAUGGGCAUCCAGGUUCCACUAUUGGUUAUUGACCAGAGAGGUGUCUUGGUCAUGUCUACAUAGUUCUGAAACUCGUAGGGUCUGCACGCUUAACAUUCGUUGACGAUAUAGUAUUAUAUGAGUUAUGUGAUUUGAUGACCGAGUGUUGUUCGGAGUCCCGGAUGAGAUCAUAGACAUGACGAGGAGUCUCAAAAUGGUUGAGAGGUCAAGAUUCAUAUAUAAGACCAUAAUAUUCAGACACCGGAAGUUUUUCGGAGGGUGCCGGGUACUUAUCGGGUCACUGGAAAGGAGUUUCAGGCACCCCCGGCAAAGAUAUGGGCCUUAUGGGCAAAGAGAGAAAACGCACCAGCCAUAAGAGGCUGGUGCGCCCCCCCAUAGCAGGCCGGCCUAAGGAGGAGAAGGAAAAGCGGGAGGGAAAGGAAAGUGUGGAUUAGGAUUCCCACUUCCUUCCCUCUCCCCCUCUUUCCUUCCCCCUUGGGAAUACAUGGCAAGGGGGGUGCGGCCAGGGCACGUGCCCUAGGGCCGGCCGGCCACCUAUGUAGUGUGCCAGGCUGCCUCCCCUCCCCCUCCCACCAAUAUAUAUGUGGGUGGGGGGCGCCUAGCACACCCCAUAUUAAUUGUUAGCCGUGUGUAGCGCCCCCCUCCGCCGUUUACACCACCAGUCAUAUUUUCGUAGUGCUUAGGCAAAGCCCUGCGAAGAUCACACCAUCACCAUCACCAUGCCACCAUGCUGCCGGAACUCAUCUACUACCACGCCGUCUUGCUGGAUAAAGAAGGCGGAGGACGUCACCAAGCUGAACAUGUGCUGAACGCGGAGGUGCUGUACGUUCGGUACUAGAUCGGUUGGAUCAGAGCCAGGCCUAUGCGUAGAUGAUAUGCACAAGUAGAAGAGAAAGAGUUGUGGGUGGUGAUAGUCAUACUGCUUACCACCAAUGUUUUAUUUUGAUUCGGCGGUAUUGUGGGGUGAAGUGGCCCAGACUAACCUUACAUGUCCACGCACAUGAGACCGGUUCCACCGACUGACAUGCAACUAGUUUUGUAUAAAGGUGGCUGGCAGGUGUCUAUUUCUCCUACUUUAGUUGAAUCGAAUUUGACUACGACCGGUCCUUGAAGAAGGUUAAAACAGUAAACUUGAUGAAUCACCGUUGUGGUUUUUUCCGUAGGUAAGAACGGUUCUUGCUAGAAGCACGUAGCAGCCACGUAAAACUUGCAACAACAAAGUAGAGGACGUCUAACUUGUUUUUGCAGGGUAUGUUGUGAUGUGAUAUGGUCAAGACAUGAUGUGCUAUACGCUAUUGUAUGAGAUGAUCAUGUUUUGUAAUUUAUCGGCAACCGGCAGGAGCCUUAUGGUUGUCUCUUUAUUGUAUGAAAUGCAAGUGCCAUGUAAUUGCUUUACUUUAUCGCUAUGUGUUACCAAUAGUUGUAGAAGCAAUAGUUGGCGAGACGACCACGACGCGAUGAUGGAGAUCAAGGUGUCGAGCCGGUGACAAUGGAGAUCAUGACGAUGCUUUGGAGAUGGAGACCAAAAGCACAAGAUGAUGAUGGCCAUAUCAUAUCACAUAUUUUGAUUGCAUGUGAUGUGUAUCUUUUAUGCAUCUUAUUUUGCUUAGAACGAUGGUAGCAUUAUAAGAUGAUCCCUUCACUAAAUUCAAUAUAUAAGUGUGAUAACCCACAAGUAUAGGGGAUCGCAACAGUUUUCGAGGGUAGAGUAUUCAACCCAAAUUUAUUGAUUCAAAACAAGGGGAGCCAAAGAAUAUUCUUAAGUAUUAGCAGUUGAGUUGUCAAUUCAACCACACCUGGAUAACAUAAUAUCUACAGCAAAGUAUUUAGUAGCAAAGUAGUAUGGAAGUAACGGUAAUAGUAGCAGUUUUGUAGUAAUUGUAACAGUGUCAACGGUAAAACAACGAAGCAAAGAACAAUAUGUGAAAAGCUCGUAGGCAUUGGAUCAGUGAUGGAUAAUUAUGUCGGAUGCGAUUCGUCAUGUAAUAGUUAUAACAUAGGGUGACUCGGAACUAGCUCCAGUUCAUCAAUGUAAUGUAGGCAUGUAUUCCGAAUAUAGUCAUACGUGCUUAUGGAAAAGAACUUACAUGACAUCUUUUGUCCUACCCUCCCGUGGCAGCGGGGUCCUAUUGAAAACUAAGGGAUAUUAAGGCCUCCUUUUAAUAAAGUACCGGACCAAAGCAUUAACACUUAGUGAAUACAUGAACUCCUCAAACUACGGUCAUCAUCGAGAGUGGUCCCGAUUAUUGUCACUUCGGGGUUGUCGGAUCAUAACACAUAAUAGGUGAAUAUAGACUUGCAAGAUAGGAUCAAGAACUCACAUAUAUUCAUGCAAACAUAAUAGGUUCAGAUCUGAAAUCAUGGCACUCGGGCCCUAGUGACAAGCAUUAAGCAUAGCAAAGUCAUAGCAACAUCAAUCUCAGAACAUAGUGGAUACUAGGGAUAAAACCUAACAAAACUAACUCGAUUACAUGGUAAAUCUCAUCCAACCCAUCACCGUCCAGCAAGCCUAUGAUAAACUUACCAGAGUUGUUCCAUGGUCUUUGUAGACAUGCACCUUGUAUACAACUCCAAAAAAAGCAUGCUUAGUGGAUAAGCUUCCAUAUGAGUUGACAAAUGAUCACCAACAGUAGUGCGAACAAACAGUACUCACCAGUUUAAUUCAAUUUAUUUAUGGGAACACAUCAAGCUUGGAAAAACUUGGGUAAGUCCAAUUUCAUCCAAAUACAUCAUCUUGGGUAAAAGAAUCUUGUGUGCCGUGAAAAAAAAUCAUAACCAAAUUGAAGAUAUUUAGGCCCGUGAACAAAUAACCAGCUAAAUCCAAAGAAGGCCGGAAGCAAAUCUUCAAUAUUUAAGCAGGCCUAAAGUCGAAAAGAAAUAACGUACAUAAGGGGAAGAUAAAAUGACAACAUUUCGCAAAGUUUACGAAGAUUACUAAUAUAGGCAUCAUCUAUAGAGAAAUAAAUGGAUAGAUCACAAGAGUAAUCGUAGCAUCGGGCACUCGAUCUAGACCUUGUUGCUGUAACCGCAAUUAGAAGAGUCGUUCAUUUAUUAAAUUUCUGCCGAGUGUCGGGGACUAGUCCUUGUUGGUUAUCUUUUGAGGAAUUAGAUAAAAUGGUACACUUUUCAUGAGAGUUUUGAUCCCAUUGUUUCACUUGAGAUACCUAUUGAUUGUGCCUCGCCUGAAUAUUUUUGGCGCAUUAGUGGAGGAAAUAUGCCCUAGAGGCAAUAAUAAAGUUGUUAUUUUAUAUUUCCUUAUUCAUGAUAAAGGUUUAUUAUUCAUGCUAGAAUUGUAUUGAUCGAAAACUUAAAUACAUGUGUGAAUACAUAAACAAAUACCGUGUCCCUAGUAAGCCUCUACUAGACUAGCUCAUUGAUCAAAGAUGGUUAAGGUUUCCUAACCAUGGACAUGAGUUGUCAUUUGAUAACGGGAUCACAUCAUUAGGAGAAUGAUGUGAUGGACAAGACCCAUCCGUUAGCUUAGCAUAAUGAUCGUUCAGUUUUAUUGAUAUUGCUUUCUUCAUGUCAAAUGCAUAUUCCUUUGACUAUGAGAUUAUGCAACUCUCGGAUACCGGAGGAAUACCUUGUGUACUAUCAAACAUCACAACGUAAAUGGAUGAUCAUAAAGAUGCUCUACAGGUAUCUCCGGAGGUAUUUGUUGAGUUGGCAUAGAUCGAGAUUAGGAUUUGUCACUCGAGUAUCGGAGAGGUAUCUCUGGGCCCUCUCGGUAAUACACAUCAUAAGCUUGCAAGCAAAUGACUAAGGAGUUGGUCACGAGGUGAUGUAUUAUGGAAUGAGUAAAGAGACGUGCCGGUAACGAGAUUGAACUAGGUAUGAAGAUACCGACGAUCGAAUCUCGGGCAAGUAACAUACCGAUGGAUAAAGGGAAUUACGUAUGUUGUCAUAACGGCUCAAACAAUAAAUAUGUUCGUAGAAUAUGGGCAUCCAGGUUCCGCUAUUGGUUAUUGACCGAAGAGGUGUCUUGGUCAUGUCUACAUAGUUCUCGAACUCGUAGGGUCUCCACGCUUAACAUUCGUUGAUGGUAUAGUAUUAUAUGAGUUAUGUGAUUUGAUGACCGAAUGUUGUUCGGAGUCCCGGGUGAGAUCACAGACAUGACGAGGAGUCUUGAAAUGGUCGAGAGGUCAAGAUUCAUAUAUAAGACGAUAGUAUUCAGACACCGAAGGUGUUUCGGAGGGUGCCGGGUACUUAUCGGGUCACCGGAAAGGAGUUUCGGGCACCUCCGGCAAAGAUAUGGGCCUUAUGGGCAAAGAGAGAAAACGCCACCAGCCAUAAGAGGCUGGUGCCCCCCCCCCCAAGUAGGCCGGCCUAAGGAGGAGAAGGAAAAGGGGGAGGGAAAGGAAAGUGUGGAUUAGGAUUCCCACUUCCUUCCCUCUCCCCCCUCUUUCCUUCCCCCUUCGGAAUACAUGGCAAGGGGGGCGCGGCCAAGGCACGAGCCCUAGGGCCGGCCGGCCACCUAUGUGGUGCGCCAGGCUGCCUCCCCUCCCCCUCCCACCUAUAUAUAUGUGGGAGGGGGGCGCCUAGCACACCCCAUAUUCAUUGUUAGCCGUGUGCAGCGCCCCCCUCCGCCGUUUACACCACCAGACAUAUUUUCGUAGUGCUUAGGCAAAGCCCUGCGGAGAUCACACCAUCACCGUCACCAUGCCACCAUGCUGCCGGAACUCAUCUACUACCUCGUCGUCUUGCUGGAUAAAGAAGGCGGAGGACGUCACCGAGUUGAACGUGUGCUGAACGCGGAGGUGCUGUACGUUCGGUACUAGAUCGGUUGGAUCAGAGCCAGGCCUAUGCGUAGAUGAUAUGCACGAGUAGAACACAAAGACUUGUGGGUGGUGAUAGUCAUACUGCUUACCACCAAUGUUUUAUUUUGAUUCGGCAGUAUUGUGGGGUGAAGCGGCCCAGACCAACCUUACAUGUCCAUGCACAUGACACCGGUUCCACCGACUGACAUGCAACUAGUUUUGUAUAAAGGUGGCUGACGGGUGUCUGUUUCUCCUACUUUAGUUGAAUGAAAUUUGACUACGACUGGUCCUUGAAGAAGGUUAAAACAGCAAACUUGAUGAAUCACCGUUGUGGUUUUUUCCCUAGGUAAGAACGGUUCUUGCUAGAAGCCCGUAGUAGCCACGUAAAACUUGCAACAACAAAGUAGAGGAUGUCUAACUUGUUUUUGCAGGGUAUGUUGUGAUGUGAUAUGGUCAAGACAUGAUGUGAUAUACGUUAUUGUAUGAGAUGAUCAUGUUUUAUAAUUUAUCGGCAACCGGCAGGAGCCUUAUGGUUGUCUCUUUAUUGUAUGAAGUGCAAGCGCCAUGUAAUUGCUUUACUUUAUGGCGAUGUGAACUAUGGGUAUUAAUCACAUGUCGAUGUGAACUAGAUUAUUGACUCUAGUGCAAGUGGGAGACUGAAGGAAAUAUGCCCUAGAGGCAAUAAUGAAGUUGUUAUUUUAUAUUUCCUUAUUCAUGAUAAAGGUUUAUUAUUCAUGCUAGAAUUGUAUUGAUCGGAAACUUAAAUACAUGUGUGAAUACAUUACAAAUACCGUGUCCCUAGUAAGCCUCUACUAGACUAGCUCGUUGAUCAAAGAUGGUUAAGGUUUUCCAACCAUGGACAUGAGUUGUCAUUUGAUAACGGGGUCACAUCAUUAGGGGAAUGAUGUGAUGGACAAGACCCAUCUGUUAGCUUAACAUAAUGAUCGUUCAGUUUUAUUGCUAUUGCUUUCUUCUUGUCAAAUACAUAUUCCUUUGAUUAUGAGAUUAUGCAACUCUCGGAUACCAAAGAAAUACCUUGUGUGCAAUCAAACGUCACAACGUAACUGGGUGAUCAUAAAGAUGCUCUAUAGGUAUCUCCGAAGGUGUUUUUUGAGUUGGCAUAGAUCGAGAUUAGGAUUUGUUACUCCGAGUAUCGGAGAGGUAUCUCUGGGCCCUCUCGGUAAUACACAUCAUAAGCUUGCAAGCAAAUGACUAAAGAGUUGGUCACGAGGUGAUGUAUUACAAACGAGUAAAGAGACUUGACGGUAAUGAGAUUGAACUAGGUAUGAAGAUACCGACAAUCAAAUCUCGGGCAAGUAACAUACCGAUGGACAACGGGAAUUACGUAUGUUGUCAUAACGGUUUGACCGAUAAAGAUCUUCGUAGAAUAUGUAGGAUCCAAUAUGGGCAUCCAGGUUCCGCUAUUGGUUAUUGACCGGAGAGGUGUCACGGUCAUGUCUACAUAGUUCUCUAACCCGUAUGGUCCGCAUGCUUAACGUUCGUUGACAAUAUAGUAUUAUAUGACUUAUGUGAUUUGGUGACCAAAUGUUGUUUGGAGUCCCGGAUGAGAUCACGAAAAUGACGAGGAGUCUCAAAAUGGUCGAGAGGGAAAGAUUCAAAUAUAGAACGAUAGUAUUCGGACACUGGAAGUGUUUUGGAGGGUGUCGGGUACUUAUCGGGUCACCGGAAAGGAGUUUUGGGCACCCCGGCAAAGAUAUGGGCCUUAUGGACCAAGAGAGGAAACACACCAGCCACAAGGGGCUGGUGCGCCCCCCAUAGCAGGCCGGCCUAAGGAGAAGAAGGAAAAGUGGGGAGGCAAAGGAAAGUGUUGAUUAGGAUUCCCACUUCGUUCCCUCCCCCCCCCCUCUUUCCUUCCCCCUUGGGAAUACAUGGCAAGGGGGGGCGAGGGCAGGAGCCCUAGGGCCGACCGGCCACCUAUGUGGUGCGACAGACUGCCUCCCCUCCCCCUCCCACCUAUAUAUAUGUGGGAGGGGACGCCUAGCACACCCCGGAUCAAUUGUUAGCCGUGUGCGACGCCCCCCUCCACUGUUUACACCCUCGGUCAUAUUUUCGUAGUGCUUAGGGGAAGCCCUGCGGAGAUCACAUCACCAUCACCGUCACCACGCUAUCAUGCUGCCGGAACUCAUGUACUACCUCGCCGUCUUGCUGGAUCAAGAAGGCGGAGGACGUCACCGAGAUGAAUGUGUGCUAAACGCGGAGGUGUCGUACGUUCGGUACUAGAUCGGUUGGAUCGUGAAGAAAGUUCGACUACAUCAACUGUGUUGUGAAACGCUUCCGCUUAUGAUUUACGAGGGUACGUAGACACACUCUUCCACUCGUUGCUAUGCAUCUCCAUAGAUAGAUCAUUGCGCGUGUGUAGAUUUUUUUUGUUUUCCAUGCAAUGUUUCCCAACAAUUAGUCCAUUUCCACGCGUAUAGCACCUAGCCGAAGAAGACGGGGAGGCCAUGGCCGGUCGCGGCAUCCUCGGUGAGGGUGAGCCAGAACCGACCUAGAGUCGUGACGUCACAUGAGGUGGCUAGGAAGGGGGUCACUCGAGCAGGGCAAGAUGGCCGACGGCAUGUCCUAGAAGUUAGGUCGGGGUCGGAGGGUGGCUUGAUGGCGGCGAAAAGUAAGAAGAUGUAAUGAUACAACAUUUAUUCCAUCCAAGUGACUAUAUUCACUCCAAAUUUUUUCCAGCAAACAUUCACCCUAGGACGCGAACCGUCUUCGAUAGGCUUAGCGUUGAGUGCUUCAUUUGUACUCCCUCUUCAAGCAAGGCGCGGUAAUCGUGUAUUAUUAUUCUUCUUUACUUUUUAUGUCUUCUUUUCAUUCUUUUUUUCUUCCUUUUCCUGAUAUUUUAUCAUUCUACUUUCUAUUAUAUGUUUUUUCAUUCAUUUUUAUUUUUCUUUGUUUUUUGUUUAACUUUCUAAAAAAUAUGUUAUCAUUUUUCUGAAAUUACAUAAAGAUAUAUUAUAACAUGGAUAAGAAAAUAUUCUCAGAAAUAUGAAACUAUUAAAAAUAAAUUGUACUUAUUGUGUAUACAUAAAUAUUUAAAACAUAUGAUAUGGACAUCUUCUUUCAUAUUUUAGAGAGAGAUGUGAACAUGUUUUAUUUUUCAACAUACAAAUACUUUUCAUCACUAAUGUACAACAUCUUGGUUUUUUUUCUUUAAAUGUAAAAAUAGUGGGAGCUAAAGAGCCGCACCACUGAACAGCCCAUUAUAAAUUUAAUGGGGGCGCCUAUGUCUCCCUUGAUGCAAGUCAAUAGAAGUCUCGCCUCAAGGAGCCGCAACAUUUGCCUGGCCCACACGGAACAAAGAACUCCAUUUUUUAUUUCACAUAUUUUAUUUUAUUUGCUUUCACUUGUACUCCGAAAUAUUCUGAAUAUAUCUAUUAAUAAAAUUACUUUAUGUACAAAGUUGAAGAAUGUUAAUCUUUCAUUUGAAAUAUGUUAAAUAUGUAUAGAAAAUGUUUAUAAUCUAUUUGAAAAAUGUUCAAUGUUUACGAAAAAAGUAUAUGUCAAAAAUAAAUGUUUAAAAAAAUGUCAAUCAAUUAUUUGGAAAAUGUGAAAGGUUUAUUUGACAAAUGUUCUUGAUGUAUAAACAUGUACCGUUAAUGGGAAAAUUAGACAUAUAAAUAUAUGUCAAAGAAAUGUUAAUAAUGUAUUUACGAAAGUUAAACUUGUAUAUACAAAAUGUUCAAGAUGUAUAAAGGAAUGUACAAUGUGUAUGAAAAACAUAGACAUCAAAAAAAUAUAAUUUGCGAAAAUGUUAAACAUGUACUGUAUUUGGAAAAGGUUGACAUGAAAAGAAAGAAUAGCAAAAUGCCUAGUAAAAACAGAGAAAGAAAAGGAAAACAAAGGAAGAAAGUAAAAAAAACAUGAAAAAACGAAGAAAACUUUGAAAAAAUGAAGAAAAUCAUGAAAAAAAAUCUGAAAACUGGAAAACCUCAGUGAAGAGAAAAAAAGUAAAAUGAAAAAGAAAGAAAACAAAAAGGAAAAAAGUAAAGAGAAAACAAAACUCAUCAACGACCUAAGCAAUUAGGCCGGCGCAAUAUGUUGGCACCUUCAGGCGAGACGGAUGAUAGACUUGCUAUAAGCGAGAUAUAGCUUUCCCGGUCAAUGGUGACCGGGAGCUUCUAAGGUGUGCCUUAAGCGCCACUUGGAGGAACAGGCAUUGUCGCAUCCCUGCUCGUGGGCCGGCCCAUUAGUGCAUGGUUAAUAGCACAAUCAACCAUUGGCUAUAUGAUGUUGCCAUGUCAUCUAUAACCAAACCUAUAGCCAGCAAAUACAAUAGUUGCAUGUAAAAAUAUACUACUUUGUUGAUAGAUGGCCCAACUCACUUCCUCACAAAGUGUCUAGAAGCGCGGGAUGCAGUGGGCUCUUUCAGUAGCCUGCUUACGUCUCGUCCAACUCCUCAAAAGUAUAAUAUUUAUAGCCUUAGAGCUCGCCUACAUCAUUUAUUGUACUUCUCUUAGAAGGUGCGCUCGAUCGCUUGACCUGUCCCCCCCCUACACACACACACCCCGGUUGGUCGAUCAUAUUUUGACUGGUCACAGUUGACCUGUUGAAUGGUCAACCGUUGACUUUUAAAAAAAAUAGAAAAAAAACUCAAAAAAGUUAGUGACUUCAGAAAUUCACAGAUUUUGAGGAAAAAAUAUUGCAAACUUAAAAAAAGUUCACAAUUUUGAAAAAAAAUCAUCGAACUUGAAAAAAAUCACAAAAAAUUGAAAAAAUAAGUUCAUGGAAUUUUUUAAAAAUGCUUAUCAAUUUAAAAAAAUUCGAGUAGACAUGAAUUUCAACAGUGAUACGAUGUAGGAUACAAAACACACUCCACAACUUCGUCCAGACCGUGUGUUCCAGCCAUCCAUUCGGCCACACGUGAAAGAAGUCCAAAAACAGAUCGAGUAAGCAAACAAUCAGCAGAAGGACCAAUGGGCUCGAAAAGAAAAGCUAGCCACGCUGGCGAGUAGAUCGAAGCUACCUGAAGAUGGAAGGCCAAGGUUUCGCAGACAUGGCUACCCCGGCGUGCUCGCAGACAUGGCAUGCCCUUGGGAGCGUUGUGGCGUAUACGAGACAAGGCAAGGACGCCGGAGCCUGCAGUGGUGGGAGCGUUGUGGCGUCGCUCGCAAAUCAGCGGGCUCGACGGCGUCAUGCACGGAACAUGAGGCCGGGCCUAAUCGUUUGCAUUGGCAACUAUAGACCCAUGUCGUUCGUGGACACAACGGCAGCCUGUGCGCGCGCACGUGUAUGCGUGCAUGCGUGCGUGCGUGCAGAGGCGGAACCAAGAUUUCUUAAAGCCUAGGGCUAAAACUAUGCAGUUAUAAAAACAUCAAAUAGCACACAUAUCAAUGGAUGCUAGAAGUUCUUCACGAAUUCACAUUAAGAAUAAAAUAUGAAUUCAUUAUUACCCCAAGAGUAAUUUCGAUAAACAUGUCUUCAAUUUAGCAAAGUGCGUCAUUUCAAAUGUCGGUACCAAAUUAAUGAAGAAGUGCUUAAUUUAAAGGUCGGUUUCAUCACCCGCAAUAGUAGAAGGACCUGGAGUUGUAAACAUAAACUCGAGUAUUAAAAUCAAGAUUUGGACAUAGACCAAGUCAAUUGUUUAUAAAAAAAAGUUCAAAACAAGAACAAAUUAUACCAUUACAACGAAGUGUACAAGGUAGUAGCCCCUUGCGAUUCUUCACUUUUUGAUAGCAUGUUUUUUGUUCCAGUUUUUUUCAAAUAUCUCUACUCCUAAUGUCUCAGUUGGUAGGUCGCGUUUCAGGUUUUAUUUUUGUCCCACCAAUUCUGGUUUAUUUUCGUCCUCAGUCCCACCUCAUACAUAACAGCGAUCCCCUACUGGACCCGUGAAGCACCCACGAAGUCCAGGCGGUUGAUCCAGGAAAAAACGUGUGAAAAAAUCUACGAAAGAAAACCUACGAAAAUUAACCAGACGCUCGUACCAGCGAUUCCUCUUGCCCCCGCCGCUCGCACGAACCAGGAGCGAGGCCCCCUCGCGCAAAAAAGCCCGGCUAGGGUUCCAGCCACCGCCGCCUCCCUGCCACAUUUGCUCCCUCUCUUCGCUGAUCCACCUACGACACGCUUUUCUUCUUCGAUGCGGCCUAACCGCGUCCCGUUCGCCCGCCCGGCCACCUGCCCGUGAGGGUUUCCGCGGCACCGCCGCCGCCGGCUGCCAUUCACGCCCACGCCGAGGGAAAGGCCGUAGUCAAGCCGUGGGGCGGGGGCAUCGGCGACGGGGCUGAUGCGACGGACCUCCAUGCGCCCUCCAAACCGAAUGCCCUCUCGUCCACGUCUACAUCUGUCCGUUUAUCUCCUCUGAGUCAGAGUGCCCUCCGUCAGAACUUUUUGUCAGCAUGGCGGCCGGUGGCAGCGGCCAUCUACGAUCUGUUCGUGCGUUGCCCUGAUGGAGGCGGUCGUGCUCCAUAGCAAGGUCAGGAUUGGAUCAGUUCGUUUGAGUUCCUCUUGUUCUCUUCUCUAAAGGCAAUCCACUUAUUCGUAGUUUAUAUACUUUAUACUUCGAUCAGUCCAGAAUUGGAUAAACAUGUUCAUGUACAUGCAUUAGAAAAAGGUUUCUGCUCAGAGCUACUACAGUGUGCCAUCAAAGAAAAAGAUUUGUAUUUCAUCCCAAAGAACAAGAGAAUAACAGAUUAGAUAAGCAUGUUCAGUACGUGCAUUAGAGUGAUUCUAUUGAUAAUUUCUUUUGUUGCAGGCAGAAAGGGAAACCAACUUCAACUUUGCGAGGGUAAUCUUCUAGAAUCCUUGUCUUAGUCUAAUCAAUUUUUUUCCUCAGAUUUGUGCAGGCCGGGAUGUUUAACUUUAGAUUUGUGCUCCAAAGUCACAUGGAUUUUUUUUCAAGAAAUUGGAAUUAUUAUGCCGGAAUGUGAUCUCACAAACAUACAUCCAUCCUCCCAGAAACACACACAUGACGUACCCACUUCCUUUUGGAUUUACCAGUAUCACUAUGUUGCAUCUGGAGUACAAAACUUCAAAUAAUUCUUUCUUGGGUCAAACUAUGAGCAGAGAGCAAAUCAUUUAUAAAGAAACAAAAAAUUGGGUCUGCUAUCAGAUGGUACAUUUAUUUCAACACAAAAUGCAAGAAAGCUUCACGGUCUCAUGAAGAGGGCAUGCUUUUGAAUUAAUUCCGACUGAUCUGAAAUUCACUUAAAUUUUGUUGUUGAUUGAUCUGCAGUUAUUUUUUAUUUGUAGAGAAGUUCCGCAUUUGAGAAGCCGGAGAAGAGUAUCUCACUAAGUACAGAUUCGAGGUAGGGAUAUCAUUUUCUCUCCAAUCCAUUUAUCAUGGGAUCAUUUCCCAGAAAAAGACAAACAUGAAGGUAGCUGUGGACAUACUAUAUUUGUUUACUUCUUCUACCCACAAGUUUCAUGUACUGGACAACAUAUUACACAUAUCUUGUGUUAUGAAAGAUAAUAGCUGGUGAUUGAUAUGGCAAGUGUCUACGAGCUGCCUAAUAUAGCAUGCAUUUAACAGUUCUUUCGCAUUCAUAUCUCUGCCUUUUCAUAAUUCCAUGGAUUUUUACUAUAUUGUGUAUCCUAGUGACUUUGCCAACUUGCUGACAUGGGGUCUCGUUCAGAGCACAAGCUUCACCUGAAUAACCUUCUUUCAGUUAGUAAAACACUCAGCAAAGGUAAUUGGGCCUCCCUUAAUUUAUCUACCAUCUUGCUUGGUUUGCGCUGCUUCCUGUGUCUUAGAUUCAACCUCUCCAAAAAUGGGUGAAGUGUCAACCGUAUUCUGUUGAUAAUUUUAUGAGAACACGUUUGUCUAAAAUGAUUUUUAUUCCCCAUAAGAACGCACGGGCAGUUCUUAAAGCUGAAAAACUGCAGCUUUCAUGUAGCAUCUUAUGUGUCUCACUUCUCUCGAAUAUGCUGAAUAGGUUGGUGCAUCUCACCACCCACAAGCACACACAAAGGAUGCAUCUGCACUGAAGUGAAUAAAGAAUAUCAACUUAUUUCAUUGCUUUUCUCCGCAAUAAAUGCUAUUUAUUCUACUACUAAUAUACAUGUGGUCUUCUAGAUGUGUUUGCUUUCUACAAUUGUGUGCACGGUUUGUAAUUAUUAAAUUCAAGAUUUCUUCUUUUCAAAGUGAUAGAGCAUAUACCUUUUUCAACCGGGCGAGAGGGAGCGAGAGAGAGAUCGUCACGUACAUAUUGUGUCCCACUCCAAUUUUGCUCACCAAUGUGUUCCUCCACGCUGCAGCAGCCGACUCCGUCGAUGUCGUGCUUGUUUACCAGCCAUGCAUUCCAGACAAGUUGAAUGCCGGUGGCAACAGGCAUUCAACGGCACCCUCGUCGGCGCUCUACUCACAGGACCCCGCCUCCCAUGCUGGACCUCCUUGCCGCCCGCACAACGCUAUUACUCCACGCAUGCAUGGCCAAACUUCCUCAUAGGGGUGCGUAGGUGUGUCGUUCCUGCAGACAUAUUUUUUGGUGCUACGUCGACAUGCUAGGCCACGCUUCAUCUUCGACUGGCUCAACCUCCACGGCACGGCGUAGCCACGCAGGCUACAGUCCGCCCAAGCGCCAGGAUGUGCAAGGAGUUCUGGGGCGUGUGUACGCCGACUAAUGUGACUUUCUGCUUUACUCAACGAGCAAUCCUAGGGAUUUCUUUUUUUUUUGGAAUUCAUUAUACAUUCUGUUUUUUAUUUAAUUUUAGGGCCUCAUGUGGAUAUAUCUGUUGCAGAUUGGUGAAGAUAAAGCUGCCGAUGUGGUGCUCACUGCUCACCUCGGAUGCAAUUCAAAAUUAUGUUGAUUUAUGUUCCUCUGUGUUACAGUUUAUUCUGGUUUUUAGAAAUACUAAUAUUUUUUCAGCAAGGACAAUGACUAUUCUUAUUUUGACAUAGAGUGUGGUAGAUGAACAUGUCCUCAUUUCAGGUUGAAGGCAUUCCAAAUUCACUUAUAAUAGAAGCUCAAUAAUGCACUUAGUCUACCACCAAAUUCAAAUUAUUGAAAGAUCAAUCCAACAUUAAUUUGCCUCAGAUACAGUCUGGUGCAUUUUCCUUAACAUGACACUCUUUUUAGAGUGAUAACCUUCAUUUCAGGUUGACGGCAUUCCAAAGAAACUUCAANNNNNNNNNNNNNNNNNNNNNNNNNNNNNNNNNNNNNNNNNNNNNNNNNNNNNNNNNNNNNNNNNNNNNNNNNNNNNNNNNNNNNNNNNNNNNNNNNNNNNNNNNNNNNNNNNNNNNNNNNNNNNNNNNNNNNNNNNNNNNNNNNNNNNNNNNNNNNNNNNNNNNNNNNNNNNNNNNNNNNNNNNNNNNNNNNNNNNNNNNNNNNNNNNNNNNNNNNNNNNNNNNNNNNNNNNNNNNNNNNNNNNNNNNNNNNNNNNNNNNNNNNNNNNNNNNNNNNNNNNNNNNNNNNNNNNNNNNNNNNNNNNNNNNNNNNNNNNNNNNNNNNNNNNNNNNNNNNNNNNNNNNNNNNNNNNNNNNNNNNNNNNNNNNNNNNNNNNNNNNNNNNNNNNNNNNNNNNNNNNNNNNNNNNNNNNNNNNNNNNNNNNNNNNNNNNNNNNNNNNNNNNNNNNNNNNNNNNNNNNNNNNNNNNNNNNNNNNNNNNNNNNNNNNNNNNNNNNNNNNNNNNNNNNNNNNNNNNNNNNNNNNNNNNNNNNNNNNNNNNNNNNNNNNNNNNNNNNNNNNNNNNNNNNNNNNNNNNNNNNNNNNNNNNNNNNNNNNNNNNNNNNNNNNNNNNNNNNNNNNNNNNNNNNNNNNNNNNNNNNNNNNNNNNNNNNNNNNNNNNNNNNNNNNNNNNNNNNNNNNNNNNNNNNNNNNNNNNNNNNNNNNNNNNNNNNNNNNNNNNNNNNNNNNNNNAGAGAGAGGGAGGGGGAGGGAGGGAGGGACUAUGAGUAGAGAGCAAAUCAUUUAUAAAGAAACAAAAAAAUUGGUCUGCUAUCAGAUGGUACAUUUAUUUCAACACAAAAUGCAAGAAAGCUUCACGGUCUCUUGAAGAGGGCAUGCUUUUGAAUUAAUUCCGACUGAUCUGAAAUUCACUUAAAUUUUGUUGUUGAUUGAUCUGCAGUUAUUUUUUAUUUGUAGAGAAGUUCCGCAUUUGAGAAGCCGGAGAAGAGUAUCUCACUAAGUACAGAUUCGAGGUAGGGAUAUCAUUUUCUCUCCAAUCCAUUUAUCAUGGGAUCAUUUCCCAGAAAAAGACAAACAUGAAGGUAGCUGUGGCCAGACUAUAUUUGUUUACUUCUUCUACCCACAAGUUUCAUGUACUGGACAACAUAUUACACAUAUCUUGUGUUAUGAAAGAUAAUAGCUGGUGAUUGAUAUGGCAAGUGUCUACGAGCUGCCUAAUAUAGCAUGCAUUUAACAGUUCUUUCGCAUUCAUAUCUCUGCCUUUUCAUAAUUCCAUGGAUUUUUACUAUAUUGUGUAUCCCAGUGACUUUGCCAACUUGCUGACAUGGGGUCUCGUUCAGAGCACAAGCUUCACCCGAAUAACCUUCUUUCAGUUAGUAAAACACUCAGCAAAGGUAAUUGGGCCUCCCUUAAUUUAUCUACCAUCUUGCUUGGUUUGCACUGCUUCCUGUGUCUUAGAUUCAACCUCUCAAAAAAUGGGUGAAGUGUCAACCGUAUUCUGUUGAUAAUUUUAUGAGAACGCGUUUGUCUAAAAUGUUUUUUAUUCCCCAUAAGAACGCACGGGCAGUUCUUAAAGCUGAAAAACUACAGCUUUCAUGUAGCAUCUUAUGUGUCUCACUUCUCUCGAAUAUGCUGAAUAGGUUGGUGCAUCUCACCACCCACAAGCACACACAAAGGAUGCAUCUGCACUGAAGUGAAUAAAGAAUAUCAACUUAUUUCAUUGCUUUUGUCCGCAAUAAAUGCUAUUUAUUCUACUACUAAUAUACAUGUGGUCUUCUAGAUGUGUUUGCUUUCUACAACUGUGUGCACGGUUUGUAAUUAUUAAAUUCAAGAUUUCUUCUUUUCAAAGUGAUAGAGCAUAUACCUUUUUCAACCGGGCGAGACGGAGCGAGAGAGAGAUCGUCACGUACAUAUUGUGUCCCACUCCGAUUUUGCUCACCAAUGUGUUCCUCCACGCUGCAGCAGCCGACUCCGUCGAUGUCGUGCUCGUUUACCAGCCAUGCAUUCCAGACAAGUUGAAUGCCGGUGGCAACAGGCAUUCAACGGCACCCUCGUCGGCGCUCUACUCACAGGACCCCGCCUCCCACGCUGGACCUCCUUGCCGCCCGCACAACGCUAUUACUCCACGCACGCAUGGCCAAACUUCCUCAUAGGGGUGCGUAGGUGUGUCGUUCCUGCAGACCUAUUUUUUGGUGCUACGUCAACAUGCUAGGCCACGCUUCAUCUUCGACUGGCUCAACCUCCACGGCACGGUGUAGCCGCGCAGGCUACAGUCCGCCCAAGCGCCGGGAUGUGCAAGGCGUUCUGGGGCGUGUGUACGCCGACUAAUGUGACUUUCUGCUUUACUCAGCGAGCAAUCCUAGGGAUUUCUUUUUUUUUGGAAUUCAUUAUGCAUUCUGUUUUUUAUUUAAUUUUAGGGCCUCAUGUGGAUAUAUCUGUUGCAGAUUGGUGAAGAUAAAGCUGCCGAUGUGGUGCUCACUGCUCACCUCGGAUGCAAUUCAAAAUUAUGUUGAUUUAUGUUCCUCUGUGUUACAGUUUAUUCUGGUUUUAGAAAUACUAAUAUUUUUUCAGUAAGGACAGUGACUAUUCUUAUUUUGACAUAGAGUGUGGUAGAUGAACAUGUCUUCAUUUCAGGUUGAAGGCAUUCCAAGUUCACUUAUAAUAGAAGCUCAAUAAUGCACUUAGUCUACCACCAAAUUCAAAUUAUUGAAAGAUCAAUCCAACAUUAAUUUGCCUCAGAUACAGUCUGGUGCAUUUUCCUUAACAUGACACUCUUUUUAGAGUGAUAACCUUCAUUUCAGGUUGACGGCAUUCCAAAGAAACUUCAAGAUUGCAAGAUAAUGAAAGCGUAAUUAUAUUUUUUUUGCAGUGGCAAGGUGAAAUUGUAUAAAAGAGACAAAGAAGAGUUGCUUCAUGUCCUUAAUCAUCGGUGUGCACCAACGCAGAAAACUGGUGAUAACUUUCUCAUGAACUUUUAAUUUUCCCCUCCACUCACAAAUUGAUGGCUUUAUCUAAUUGUAAGACAGGCACAUUGCAAGGUGUAUUCAGACAUCGUUACUGAUAAAUGUAAAAAAUAUUUAUCCCUUGUAAUCGUGUUCUGAGCAUGAUCCUUCCAAGUACAUGUUUUAUGUUUCUAUUCGUAGCACUGUCAUAUGUUAGACCUAAUGCCUUGCUAAAUGUCCUAUGCAGGCCAUAAAAGAGAGGGGGGAGAGGGAGGGAGGGAGAGAGAGAGAGGGAGAGAGAGAGAGAGAGAGAGAGGGAAGGGGAGGGGGAGGGGGAGAGAGCAAAUCAUUUAUAAAGAAACAAAAAAAUUGGUCUGCUAUCAGAUGGUACAUUUAUUUCAACACAAAAUGCAAGAAAGCUUCACGGUCUCAUGAAGAGGGCAUGCUUUUGAAUUAAUUCCGACUGAUCUGAAAUUCACUUAAAUUUUGUUGUUGAUUGAUCUGCAGUUAUUUUUUAUUUGUAGAGAAGUUCCGCAUUUGAGAAGCCGGAGAAGAGUAUCUCACUAAGUACAGAUUCGAGGUAGGGAUAUCAUUUUCUCUCCAAUCCAUUUAUCAUGGGAUCAUUUCCCAGAAAAAGACAAACAUGAAGGUAGCUGUGGACAGAGUAUAUUUGUUUACUUCUUCUACCCACAAGUUUCAUGUACUGGACAACAUAUUACACAUAUCUUGUGUUAUGAAAGAUAAUAGCUGGUGAUUGAUAUGGCAAGUGUCUACGAGCUGCCUAAUAUAGCAUGCAUUUAACAGUUCUUUCGCAUUCAUAUCUCUGCCUUUUCAUAAUUCCAUGGAUUUUUACUAUAUUGUGUAUCCCAGUGACUUUGCCAACUUGCUGACAUGGGGUCUCGUUCAGAGCACAAGCUUCACCUGAAUAACCUUCUUUCAGUUAGUAAAACACUCAGCAAAGGUAAUUGGGCCUCCCUAAAUUUAUCUACCAUCUUGCUUGGUUUGCACUGCUUCCUGUGUCUUAGAUUCAACCUCUCCAAAAAUGGGUGAAGUGUCAACCGUAUUCUGUUGAUAAUUUUAUGAGAACACGUUUGUCUAAAAUGAUUUUUAUUCCCCAUAAGAACGCACGGGCAGUUCUUAAAGCUGAAAAACUGCAGCUUUCAUGUAGCAUCUUAUGUGUCUCACUUCUCUCGAAUAUGCUGAAUAGGUUGGUGCAUCUCACCACCCACAAGCACACACAAAGGAUGCAUCUGCACUGAAGUGAAUAAAGAAUAUCAACUUAUUUCAUUGCUUUUGUCCGCAAUAAAUGCUAUUUAUUCUACUACUAAUAUACAUGUGGUCUUCUAGAUGUGUUUGCUUUCUACAAUUGUGUGCACGGUUUGUAAUUAUUAAAUUCAAGAUUUCUUCUUUUCAAAGUGAUAGAGCAUAUACCUUUUUCAACCGGGCGAGAGGGAGCGAGAGAGAGAUCGUCACGUACAUAUUGUGUCCCACUCCAAUUUUGCUCACCAAUGUGUUCCUCCACGCUGCAGCAGCCGACUCCGUCGAUGUCGUGCUUGUUUACCAGCCAUGCAUUCCAGACAAGUUGAAUGCCGGUGGCAACAGGCAUUCAACGGCACCCUCGUCGGCGCUCUACUCACAGGACCCCGCCUCCCAUGCUGGACCUCCUUGCCGCCCGCACAACGCUAUUACUCCACGCACGCAUGGCCAAACUUCCUCAUAGGGGUGCNNNNNNNNNNNNNNNNNNNNNNNNNNNNNNNNNNNNNNNNNNNNNNNNNNNNNNNNNNNNNNNNNNNNNNNNNNNNNNNNNNNNNNNNNNNNNNNNNNNNNNNNNNNNNNNNNNNNNNNNNNNNNNNNNNNNNNNNNNNNNNNNNNNNNNNNNNNNNNNNNNNNNNNNNNNNNNNNNNNNNNNNNNNNNNNNNNNNNNNNNNNNNNNNNNNNNNNNNNNNNNNNNNNNNNNNNNNNNNNNNNNNNNNNNNNNNNNNNNNNNNNNNNNNNNNNNNNNNNNNNNNNNNNNNNNNNNNNNNNNNNNNNNNNNNNNNNNNNNNNNNNNNNNNNNNNNNNNNNNNNNNNNNNNNNNNNNNNNNNNNNNNNNNNNNNNNNNNNNNNNNNNNNNNNNNNNNNNNNNNNNNNNNNNNNNNNNNNNNNNNNNNNNNNNNNNNNNNNNNNNNNNNNNNNNNNNNNNNNNNNNNNNNNNNNNNNNNNNNNNNNNNNNNNNNNNNNNNNNNNNNNNNNNNNNNNNNNNNNNNNNNNNNNNNNNNNNNNNNNNNNNNNNNNNNNNNNNNNNNNNNNNNNNNNNNNNNNNNNNNNNNNNNNNNNNNNNNNNNNNNNNNNNNNNNNNNNNNNNNNNNNNNNNNNNNNNNNNNNNNNNNNNNNNNNNNNNNNNNNNNNNNNNNNNNNNNNNNNNNNNNNNNNNNNNNNNNNNNNNNNNNNNNNNNNNNNNNNNNNNNNNNNNNNNNNNNNNNNNNNNNNNNNNNNNNNNNNNNNNNNNNNNNNNNNNNNNNNNNNNNNNNNNNNNNNNNNNNNNNNNNNNNNNNNNNNNNNNNNNNNNNNNNNNNNNNNNNNNNNNNNNNNNNNNNNNNNNNNNNNNNNNNNNNNNNNNNNNNNNNNNNNNNNNNNNNNNNNNNNNNNNNNNNNNNNNNNNNNNNNNNNNNNNNNNNNNNNNNNNNNNNNNNNNNNNNNNNNNNNNNNNNNNNNNNNNNNNNNNNNNNNNNNNNNNNNNNNNNNNNNNNNNNNNNNNNNNNNNNNNNNNNNNNNNNNNNNNNNNNNNNNNNNNNNNNNNNNNNNNNNNNNNNNNNNNNNNNNNNNNNNNNNNNNNNNNNNNNNNNNNNNNNNNNNNNNNNNNNNNNNNNNNNNNNNNNNNNNNNNNNNNNNNNNNNNNNNNNNNNNNNNNNNNNNNNNNNNNNNNNNNNNNNNNNNNNNNNNNNNNNNNNNNNNNNNNNNNNNNNNNNNNNNNNNNNNNNNNNNNNNNNNNNNNNNNNNNNNNNNNNNNNNNNNNNNNNNNNNNNNNNNNNNNNNNNNNNNNNNNNNNNNNNNNNNNNNNNNNNNNNNNNNNNNNNNNNNNNNNNNNNNNNNNNNNNNNNNNNNNNNNNNNNNNNNNNNNNNNNNNNNNNNNNNNNNNNNNNNNNNNNNNNNNNNNNNNNNNNNNNNNNNNNNNNNNNNNNNNNNNNNNNNNNNNNNNNNNNNNNNNNNNNNNNNNNNNNNNNNNNNNNNNNNNNNNNNNNNNNNNNNNNNNNNNNNNNNNNNNNNNNNNNNNNNNNNNNNNNNNNNNNNNNNNNNNNNNNNNNNNNNNNNNNNNNNNNNNNNNNNNNNNNNNNNNNNNNNNNNNNNNNNNNNNNNNNNNNNNNNNNNNNNNNNNNNNNNNNNNNNNNNNNNNNNNNNNNNNNNNNNNNNNNNNNNNNNNNNNNNNNNNNNNNNNNNNNNNNNNNNNNNNNNNNNNNNNNNNNNNNNNNNNNNNNNNNNNNNNNNNNNNNNNNNNAUUUUGCUCACCAAUGUGUUCCUCCACGCUGCAGCAGCCGACUCCGUCGAUGUCGUGCUCGUUUACCAGCCAUGCAUUCCAGACAAGUUGAAUGCCGGUGGCAACAGGCAUUCAACGGCACCCUCGUCGGCGCUCUACUCACAGGACCCCGCCUCCCACGCUGGACCUCCUUGCCGCCCGCACAACGCUAUUACUCCACGCACGCAUGGCCAAACUUCCUCAUAGGGGUGCGUAGGUGUGUCGUUCCUGCAGACCUAUUUUUUGGUGCUACGUCAACAUGCUAGGCCACGCUUCAUCUUCGACUGGCUCAACCUCCACGGCACGGUGUAGCCGCGCAGGCUACAGUCCGCCCAAGCGCCGGGAUGUGCAAGGCGUUCUGGGGCGUGUGUACGCCGACUAAUGUGACUUUCUGCUUUACUCAGCGAGCAAUCCUAGGGAUUUCUUUUUUUUUUGGAAUUCAUUAUGCAUUCUGUUUUUUAUUUAAUUUUAGGGCCUCAUGUGGAUAUAUCUGUUGCAGAUUGGUGAAGAUAAAGCUGCCGAUGUGGUGCUCACUGCUCACCUCGGAUGCAAUUCAAAAUUAUGUUGAUUUAUGUUCCUCUGUGUUACAGUUUAUUCUGGUUUUAGAAAUACUAAUAUUUUUUCAGUAAGGACAGUGACUAUUCUUAUUUUGACAUAGAGUGUGGUAGAUGAACAUGUCUUCAUUUCAGGUUGAAGGCAUUCCAAGUUCACUUAUAAUAGAAGCUCAAUAAUGCACUUAGUCUACCACCAAAUUCAAAUUAUUGAAAGAUCAAUCCAACAUUAAUUUGCCUCAGAUACAGUCUGGUGCAUUUUCCUUAACAUGACACUCUUUUUAGAGUGAUAACCUUCAUUUCAGGUUGACGGCAUUCCAAAGAAACUUCAAGAUUGCAAGAUAAUGAAAGCGUAAUUAUAUUUUUUUUGCAGUGGCAAGGUGAAAUUGUAUAAAAGAGACAAAGAAGAGUUGCUUCAUGUCCUUAAUCAUCGGUGUGCACCAACGCAGAAAACUGGUGAUAACUUUCUCAUGAACUUUUAAUUUUCCCCUCCACUCACAAAUUGAUGGCUUUAUCUAAUUGUAAGACAGGCACAUUGCAAGGUGUAUUCAGACAUCAUUACUGAUAAAUGUAAAAAAUAUUUAUCCCUUGUAUUCGUGUUCUGAGCAUGAUCCUUCCAAGUACAUGUUUUAUGUUUCUAUUCGUAGCACUGUCAUAUGUUACACCUAAUGCCUUGCUAAAUGUCCUAUGCAGGCCAUAAAAGAGAGGGGGGAGAGGGAGGGAGGGAGAGAGAGAGAGGGAGAGAGAGAGAGAGAGAGAGAGAGGGAAGGGGAGGGGGAGGGGGAGAGAGCAAAUCAUUUAUAAAGAAACAAAAAAAUUGGUCUCCUAUCAGAUGGUACAUUUAUUUCAACACAAAAUGCAAGAAAGCUUCACGGUCUCAUGAAGAGGGCAUGCUUUUGAAUUAAUUCCGACUGAUCUGAAAUUCACUUAAAUUUUGUUGUUGAUUGAUCUGCAGUUAUUUUUUAUUUGUAGAGAAGUUCCGCAUUUGAGAAGCCGGAGAAGAGUAUCUCACUAAGUACAGAUUCGAGGUAGGGAUAUCAUUUUCUCUCCAAUCCAUUUAUCAUGGGAUCAUUUCCCAGAAAAAGACAAACAUGAAGGUAGCUGUGGACAGACUAUAUUUGUUUACUUCUUCUACCCACAAGUUUCAUGUACUGGACAACAUAUUACACAUAUCUUGUGUUAUGAAAGAUAAUAGCUGGUGAUUGAUAUGGCAAGUGUCUACGAGCUGCCUAAUAUAGCAUGCAUUUAACAGUUCUUUCGCAUUCAUAUCUCUGCCUUUUCAUAAUUCCAUGGAUUUUUACUAUAUUGUGUAUCCCAGUGACUUUGCCAACUUGCUGACAUGGGGUCUCGUUCAGAGCACAAGCUUCACCUGAAUAACCUUCUUUCAGUUAGUAAAACACUCAGCAAAGGUAAUUGGGCCUCCCUUAAUUUAUCUACCAUCUUGCUUGGUUUGCACUGCUUCCUGUGUCUUAGAUUCAACCUCUCCAAAAAUGGGUGAAGUGUCAACCGUAUUCUGUUGAUAAUUUUAUGAGAACACGUUUGUCUAAAAUGAUUUUUAUUCCCCAUAAGAACGCACGGGCAGUUCUUAAAGCUGAAAAACUGCAGCUUUCAUGUAGCAUCUUAUGUGUCUCACUUCUCUCGAAUAUGCUGAAUAGGUUGGUGCAUCUCACCACCCACAAGCACACACAAAGGAUGCAUCUGCACUGAAGUGAAUAAAGAAUAUCAACUUAUUUCAUUGCUUUUGUCCGCAAUAAAUGCUAUUUAUUCUACUACUAAUAUACAUGUGGUCUUCUAGAUGUGUUUGCUUUCUACAAUUGUGUGCACGGUUUGUAAUUAUUAAAUUCAAGAUUUCUUCUUUUCAAAGUGAUAGAGCAUAUACCUUUUUCAACCGGGCGAGAGGGAGCGAGAGAGAGAUCGUCACGUACAUAUUGUGUCCCACUCCAAUUUUGCUCACCAAUGUGUUCCUCCACGCUGCAGCAGCCGACUCCGUCGAUGUCGUGCUUGUUUACCAGCCAUGCAUUCCAGACAAGUUGAAUGCCGGUGGCAACAGGCAUUCAACGGCACCCUCGUCGGCGCUCUACUCACAGGACCCCGCCUCCCAUGCUGGACCUCCUUGCCGCCCGCACAACGCUAUUACUCCACGCACGCAUGGCCAAACUUCCUCAUAGGGGUGCAUAGGUGUGUCGUUCCUGCAGACCUAUUUUUUGGUGCUACGUCGACAUGCUAGGCCACGCUUCAUCUUCGACUGGCUCAACCUCCACGGCACGGCGUAGCCACGCAGGCUACAGUCCGCCCAAGCGCCAGGAUGUGCAAGGAGUUCUGGGGCGUGUGUACGCCGACUAAUGUGACUUUCUGCUUUACUCAGCGAGCAAUCCUAGGGAUUUCUUUUUUUUUUGAAUUCAUUAUACAUUCUGUUUUUUAUUUAAUUUUAGGGCCUCAUGUGGAUAUAUCUGUUGCAGAUUGGUGAAGAUAAAGCUGCCGAUGUGGUGCUCACUGCUCACCUCGGAUGCAAUUCAAAAUUAUGUUGAUUUAUGUUCCUCUGUGUUACAGUUUAUUCUGGUUUUUAGAAAUACUAAUAUUUUUUCAGCAAGGACAAUGACUAUUCUUAUUUUGACAUAGAGUGUGGUAGAUGAACAUGUCCUCAUUUCAGGUUGAAGGCAUUCCAAAUUCACUUAUAAUAGAAGCUCAAUAAUGCACUUAGUCUACCACCAAAUUCAAAUUAUUGAAAGAUCAAUCCAACAUUAAUUUGCCUCAGAUACAGUCUGGUGCAUUUUCCUUAACAUGACACUCUUUUUAGAGUGAUAACCUUCAUUUCAGGUUGACGGCAUUCCAAAGAAACUUCAAGAUUGCAAGAUAAUGAAAGCGUAAUUACAUUUUUUUUUUGCAAUGGCAAGGUGAAAUUGUAUAAAAGAGACAAAGAAGAGUUGCUUCAUGUCCUUAAUCAUCGGUGUGCACCAACGCAGAAAAGUGGUGAUAACUUUCUCAUGAACUUUUAAUUUUCCCCUCCACUCACAAAUUGAUGGCUUUAUCUAAUUGUAAGAUAGGCACAUUGCAAGGUGUAUUUAGACAUCAUUAGUGAUAAAUGUAAAAAAUAUUUAUCCCUUGUAUUCGUGUUUUCAGCAUGAUCCUUCCAAGUACAUGUUUUAUGUUUCUAUUUGUAGCACUGUCAUAUGUUAGACCUAAUGCCUUGCUAAAUGUCCUAUGCAGGCCAUAAAAGAGAGGGGGGAGAGGGAGGGAGGGAGAGAGAGGGAGAGGGAGAGAGAGAGAGAGAGAGAGNNNNNNNNNNNNNNNNNNNNNNNNNNNNNNNNNNNNNNNNNNNNNNNNNNNNNNNNNNNNNNNNNNNNNNNNNNNNNNNNNNNNNNNNNNNNNNNNNNNNNNNNNNNNNNNNNNNNNNNNNNNNNNNNNNNNNNNNNNNNNNNNNNNNNNNNNNNNNNNNNNNNNNNNNNNNNNNNNNNNNNNNNNNNNNNNNNNNNNNNNNNNNNNNNNNNNNNNNNNNNNNNNNNNNNNNNNNNNNNNNNNNNNNNNNNNNNNNNNNNNNNNNNNNNNNNNNNNNNNUAUAUUUGUUUACUUCUUCUACCCACAAGUUUCAUGUACUGGACAACAUAUUACACAUAUCUUGUGUUAUGAAAGAUAAUAGCUGGUGAUUGAUAUGGCAAGUGUCUACGAGCUGCCUAAUAUAGCAUGCAUUUAACAGUUCUUUCGCAUUCAUAUCUCUGCCUUUUCAUAAUUCCAUGGAUUUUUACUAUAUUGUGUAUCCCAGUGACUUUGCCAACUUGCUGACAUGGGGUCUCGUUCAGAGCACAAGCUUCACCUGAAUAACCUUCUUUCAGUUAGUAAAACACUCAGCAAAGGUAAUUGGGCCUCCCUUAAUUUAUCUACCAUCUUGCUUGGUUUGCACUGCUUCCUGUGUCUUAGAUUCAACCUCUCCAAAAAUGGGUGAAGUGUCAACCGUAUUCUGUUGAUAAUUUUAUGACAACACGUUUGUCUAAAAUGUUUUUUAUUCCCCAUAAGAAUGCACGGGCAGUUCUUAAAGCUGAAAAACUACAGCUUUCAUGUAGCAUCUUAUGUGUCUCACUUCUCUCGAAUAUGCUGAAUAGGUUGGUGCAUCUCACCACCCACAAGCACACACAAAGGAUGCAUCUGCACUGAAGUGAAUAAAGAAUAUCAACUUAUUUCAUUGCUUUUGUCGGCAAUAAAUGCUAUUUAUUCUACUACUAAUAUACAUGUGGUCUUCUAGAUGUGUUUGCUUUCUACAAUUGUGUGCACGGUUUGUAAUUAUUAAAUUCAAGAUUUCUUCUUUUCAAAGUGAUAGAGCAUAUACCUUUUUCAACCGGGCGAGACGGAGCGAGAGAGAGAUCGUCACGUACAUAUUGUGUCCCACUCCGAUUUUGCUCACCAAUGUGUUCCUCCAUGCUGCAGCAGCCGACUCCGUCGAUGUCGUGCUCGUUUACCAGCCAUGCAUUCCAGACAAGUUGAAUGCCGGUGGCAACAGGCAUUCAACGGCACCCUCGUCGGCGCUCUACUCACAGGACCCCGCCUCCCACGCUGGACCUCCUUGCCGCCCGCACAACGCUAUUACUCCACGCACGCAUGGCCAAACUUCCUCAUAGGGGUGCGUAGGUGUGUCGUUCCUGCAGACCUAUUUUUUGGUGCUACGUCGACAUGCUAGGCCACGCUUCAUCUUCGACUGGCUCAACCUCCACGGCACGGUGUAGCCGCGCAGGCUACAGUCCGCCCAAGCGCCGGGAUGUGCAAGGCGUUCUGGGGCGUGUGUACGCCGACUAAUGUGACUUUCUGCUUUACUCAGCGAGCAAUCCUAGGGAUUUCUUUUUUUUUGGAAUUCAUUAUACAUUCUGUUUUUUAUUUAAUUUUAGGGCCUCAUGUGGAUAUAUCUGUUGCAGAUUGGUGAAGAUAAAGCUGCCGAUGUGGUGCUCACUGCUCACCUCGGAUGCAAUUCAAAAUUAUGUUGAUUUAUGUUCCUCUGUGUUACAGUUUAUUCUGGUUUUAGAAAUACUAAUAUUUUUUCAGUAAGGACAGUGACUAUUCUUAUUUUGACAUAGAGUGUGCUAGAUGAACGUGUCUUCAUUUCAGGUUGAAGGCAUUCCAAGUUCACUUAUAAUAGAAGCUCAAUAAUGCACUUAGUCUACCACCAAAUUCAAAUUAUUGAAAGAUCAAUCCAACAUUAAUUUGCCUCAGAUACAGUCUGGUGCAUUUUCCUUAACAUGACACUCUUUUUAGAGUGAUAACCUUCAUUUCAGGUUGACGGCAUUCCAAAGAAACUUCAAGAUUGCAAGAUAAUGAAAGCGUAAUUAUAUUUUUUUUGCAGUGGCAAGGUGAAAUUGUAUAAAAGAGACAAAGAAGAGUUGCUUCAUGUCCUUAAUCAUCGGUGUGCACCAACGCAGAAAAGUGGUGAUAACUUUCUCAUGAACUUUUAAUUUUCCCCUCCACUCACAAAUUGAUGGCUUUAUAUAAUUGUAAGACAGGCACAUUGCAAGGUGUAUUCAGACAUCAUUACUGAUAAAUGUAAAAAAUAUUUAUCCCUUGUAUUCGUGUUCUGAGCAUGAUCCUUCCAAGUACAUGUUUUAUGUUUCUAUUCGUAGCACUGUCAUAUGUUAGACCUAAUGCCUUGCUAAAUGUCCUAUGCAGGCCAUAAAAGAGAGGGCGGAGAGGGAGGGAGGGAGAGAGAGAGAGGGAGAGAGAGAGAGAGAGAGGGAAGGGGAGGGGGAGGGGGAGAGAGCAAAUCAUUUAUAAAGAAACAAAAAAAUUGGUCUGCUAUCAGAUGGUACAUUUAUUUCAACACAAAAUGCAAGAAAGCUUCAGGGUCUCAUGAAGAGGGCAUGCUUUUGAAUUAAUUCCGACUGAUCUGAAAUUCACUUAAAUUUUGUUGUUGAUUGAUCUGCAGUUAUUUUUUAUUUGUAGAGAAGUUCCGCAUUUGAGAAGCCGGAGAAGAGUAUCUCACUAAGUACAGAUUCGAGGUAGGGAUAUCAUUUUCUCUCCAAUCCAUUUAUCAUGGGAUCAUUUCCCAGAAAAAGACAAACAUGAAGGUAGCUGUGGACAUACUAUAUUUGUUUACUUCUUCUACCCACAAGUUUCAUGUACUGGACAACAUAUUACACAUAUCUUGUGUUAUGAAAGAUAAUAGCUGGUGAUUGAUAUGGCAAGUGUCUACGAGCUGCCUAAUAUAGCAUGCAUUUAACAGUUCUUUCGCAUUCAUAUCUCUGCCUUUUCAUAAUUCCAUGGAUUUUUACUAUAUUGUGUAUCCCAGUGACUUUGCCAACUUGCUGACAUGGGGUAUCGUUCAGAGCACAAGCUUCACCUGAAUAACCUUCUUUCAGUUAGUAAAACACUCAGCAAAGGUAAUUGGGCCUCCCUUAAUUUAUCUACCAUCUUGCUUGGUUUGCACUGCUUCCUGUGUUUUAGAUUCAACCUCUCCAAAAAUGGGUGAAGUGUCAACCGUAUUCUGUUGAUAAUUUUAUGAGAACACGUUUGUCUAAAAUGAUUUUUAUUCCCCAUAAGAACGCACGGGCAGUUCUUAAAGCUGAAAAACUGCAGCUUUCAUGUAGCAUCUUAUGUGUCUCACUUCUCUCGAAUAUGCUGAAUAGGUUGGUGCAUCUCACCACCCACAAGCACACACAAAGGAUGCAUCUGCACUGAAGUGAAUAAAGAAUAUCAACUUAUUUCAUUGCUUUUCUCCGCAAUAAAUGCUAUUUAUUCUACUACUAAUAUACAUGUGGUCUUCUAGAUGUGUUUGCUUUCUACAAUUGUGUGCACGGUUUGUAAUUAUUAAAUUCAAGAUUUCUUCUUUUCAAAGUGAUAGAGCAUAUACCUUUUUCAACCGGGCGAGAGGGAGCGAGAGAGAGAUCGUCACGUACAUAUUGUGUCCCACUCCAAUUUUGCUCACCAAUGUGUUCCUCCACGCUGCAGCAGCCGACUCCGUCGAUGUCGUGCUUGUUUACCAGCCAUGCAUUCCAGACAAGUUGAAUGCCGGUGGCAACAGGCAUUCAACGGCACCCUCGUCGGCGCUCUACUCACAGGACCCCGCCUCCCAUGCUGGACCUCCUUGCUGCCCGCACAACGCUAUUACUCCACGCACGCAUGGCCAAACUUCCUCAUAGGGGUGCGUAGGUGUGUCGUUCCUGCAGACCUAUUUUUUGGUGAUACGUCGACAUGCUAGGCCACGCUUCAUCUUCGACUGGCUCAACCUCCACGGCACGGCGUAGCCACGCAGGCUACAGUCCGCCCAAGCGCCAGGAUGUGCAAGGAGUUCUGGGGCGUGUGUACGCCGACUAAUGUGACUUUCUGCUUUACUCAGCGAGCAAUCCUAGGGAUUUCUUUUUUUUUUGGAAUUCAUUAUACAUUCUGUUUUUUAUUUAAUUUUAGGGCCUCAUGUGGAUAUAUCUGUUGCAGAUUGGUGAAGAUAAAGCUGCCGAUGUGGUGCUCACUGCUCACCUCGGAUGCAAUUCAAAAUUAUGUUGAUUUAUGUUCCUCUGUGUUACAGUUUAUUCUGGUUUUUAGAAAUACUAAUAUUUUUUCAGCAAGGACAAUGACUAUUCUUAUUUUGACAUAGAGUGUGGUAGAUGAACAUGUCCUCAUUUCAGGUUGAAGGCAUUCCAAAUUCACUUAUAAUAGAAGCUCAAUAAUGCACUUAGUCUACCACCAAAUUCAAAUUAUUGAAAGAUCAAUCCAACAUUAAUUUGCCUCAGAUACAGUCUGGUGCAUUUUCCUUAACAUGACACUCUUUUUAGAGUGAUAACCUUCAUUUCAGGUUGACGGCAUUCCAAAGAAACUUCAAUAUUGCAAGAUAAUGAAAGCGUAAUUACAUUUUUUUUUUGCAAUGGCAAGGUGAAAUUGUAUAAAAGAGACAAAGAAGAGUUGCUUCAUGUCCUUAAUCAUCGGUGUGCACCAACGCAGAAAAGUGGUGAUAACUUUCUCAUGAACUUUUAAUUUUCCCCUCCACUCACAAAUUGAUGGCUUUAUCUAAUUGUAAGAUAGGCACAUUGCAAGGUGUAUUUAGACAUCAUUAGUGAUAAAUGUAAAAAAUAUUUAUCCCUUGUAUUCGUGUUUUCAGCAUGAUCCUUCCAAGUACAUGUUUUAUGUUUCUAUUUGUAGCACUGUCAUAUGUUAGACCUAAUGCCUUGCUAAAUGUCCUAUGCAGGCCAUAAAAGAGAGGGGGGAGAGGGAGGGAGGGAGAGAGAGGGAGAGGGAGAGAGAGAGAGAGAGAGAGAGAGAGAGAGAGAGAGGGAGGGGGAGGGAGGGAGGGACUAUGAGCAGAGAGCAAAUCAUUUAUAAAGAAACAAAAAAAUUGGUCUGCUAUCAGAUGGUACAUUUAUUUCAACACAAAAUGCAAGAAAGCUUCACGGUCUCUUGAAGAGGGCAUGCUUUUGAAUUAAUUGCGACUGAUCUGAAAUUCACUUAAAUUUUGUUGUUGAUUGAUCUGCAGUUAUUUUUUAUUUGUAGAGAAGUUCCGCAUUUGAGAAGCCGGAGAAGAGUAUCUCACUAAGUACAGAUUCGAGGUAGGGAUAUCAUUUUCUCUCCAAUCCAUUUAUCAUGGGAUCAUUUCCCAGAAAAAGACAAACAUGAAGGUAGCUGUGGACAGACUAUAUUUGUUUACUUCUUCUACCCACAAGUUUCAUGUACUGGACAACAUAUUACACAUAUCUUGUGUUAUGAAAGAUAAUAGCUGGUGAUUGAUAUGGCAAGUGUCUAUGAGCUGCCUAAUAUAGCAUGCAUUUAACAGUUCUUUCGCAUUCAUAUCUCUGCCUUUCAUAAUUCCAUGGAUUUUUACUAUAUUGUGUAUCCCAGUGACUUUGCCAACUUGCUGACAUGGGGUCUCGUUCAGAGCACAAGCUUCACCUGAAUAACCUUCUUUCAGUUAGUAAAACACUCAGCAAAGGUAAUUGGGCCUCCCUUAAUUUAUCUACCAUCUUGCUUGGUUUGCACUGCUUCCUGUGUCUUAGAUUCAACCUCUCCAAAAAUGGGUGAAGUGUCAACCGUAUUCUGUUGAUAAUUUUAUGAGAACACGUUUGUCUAAAAUGUUUUUUAUUCCCCAUAAGAACGCACGGGCAGUUCUUAAAGCUGAAAAACUACAGCUUUCAUGUAGCAUCUUAUGUGUCUCACUUCUCUCGAAUAUGCUGAAUAGGUUGGUGCAUCUCACCACCCACAAGCACACACAAAGGAUGCAUCUGCACUGAAGUGAAUAAAGAAUAUCAACUUAUUUCAUUGCUUUUGUCCGCAAUAAAUGCUAUUUAUUCUACUACUAAUAUACAUGUGGUCUUCUAGAUGUGUUUGCUUUCUACAAUUGUGUGCACGGUUUGUAAUUAUUAAAUUCAAGAUUUCUUCUUUUCAAAGUGAUAGAGCAUAUACCUUUUUCAACCGGGCGAGACGGAGCGAGAGAGAGACCGUCACGUACAUAUUGUGUCCCACUCCGAUUUUGCUCACCAAUGUGUUCCUCCACGCUGCAGCAGCCGACUCCGUCGAUGUCGUGCUCGUUUACCAGCCAUGCAUUCCAGACAAGUUGAAUGCCGGUGGCAACAGGCAUUCAACGGCACCCUCGUCGGCGCUCUACUCACAGGACCCCGCCUCCCACGCUGGACCUCCUUGCCGCCCGCACAACGCUAUUACUCCACGCACGCAUGGCCAAACUUCCUCAUAGGGGUGCGUAGGUGUGUCGUUCCUGCAGACCUAUUUUUUGGUGCUACGUCGAUAUGCUAGGCCACGCUUCAUCUUCGACUGGCUCAACCUCCACGGCACGGUGUAGCCGCGCAGGCUACAGUCCGCCCAAGCGCCGGGAUGUGCAAGGCGUUCUGGGGCGUGUGUACGCCGACUAAUGUGACUUUCUGCUUUACUCAGCGAGCAAUCCUAGGGAUUUCUUUUUUUUGGAAUUCAUUAUACAUUCUGUUUUUUAUUUAAUUUUAGGGCCUCAUGUGGAUAUAUCUGUUGCAGAUUGGUGAAGAUAAAGCUGCCGAUGUGGUGCUCACUGCUCACCUCGGAUGCAAUUCAAAAUUAUGUUGAUUUAUGUUCCUCUGUGUUACAGUUUAUUCUGGUUUUUACAAAUACUAAUAUUUUAUCAGUAAGGACAGUGACUAUUCUUAUUUUGACAUAGAGUGUGGUAGAUGAACAUGUCUUCAUUUCAGGUUGAAGGCAUUCCAAAUUCACUUAUAAUAGAAGCUCAAUAAUGCACUUAGUCUACCACCAAAUUCAAAUUAUUGAAAGAUCAAUCCAACAUUAAUUUGCCUCAGAUACAGUCUGGUGCAUUUUCCUUAACAUGACACUCUUUUUAGAGUGAUAACCUUCAUUUCAGGUUGACGGCAUUCCAAAGAAACUUCAAGAUUGCAAGAUAAUGAAAGUGUAAUUACAUUUUUUUUGAAGUGGCAAGGUGAAAUUGUAUAAAAGAAACAAAGAAGAGUUGCUUCAUGUCCUUAAUCAUCGGUGUGCACCAACGCAGAAAAGUGGUGAUAACUUUCUCAUGAACUUUUAAUUUUCCCCUCCACUCACAAAUUGAUGGCUUUAUCUAAUUGUAAGAUAGGCACAUUGCAAGGUGUAUUUAGACAUCAUUAGUAAUAAAUGUAAAAAAUAUUUAUCCCUUGUAUUCGUGUUCUGAGCAUGAUCCUUCCAAGUACAUGUUUUAUGUUUCUAUUUGUAGCACUGUCAUAUGUUAGACCUAAUGCCUUGCUAAAUGUCCUAUGCAGGCCAUAAAAGAGAGGGNNNNNNNNNNNNNNNNNNNNNNNNNNNNNNNNNNNNNNNNNNNNNNNNNNNNNNNNNNNNNNNNNNNNNNNNNNNNNNNNNNNNNNNNNNNNNNNNNNNNNNNNNNNNNNNNNNNNNNNNNNNNNNNNNNNNNNNNNNNNNNNNNNNNNNNNNNNNNNNNNNNNNNNNNNNNNNNNNNNNNNNNNNNNNNNNNNNNNNNNNNNNNNNNNNNNNNNNNNNNNNNNNNNNNNNNNNNNNNNNNNNNNNNNNNNNNNNNNNNNNNNNNNNNNNNNNNNNNNNNNNNNNNNNNNNNNNNNNNNNNNNNNNNNNNNNNNNNNNNNNNNNNNNNNNNNNNNNNNNNNNNNNNNNNNNNNNNNNNNNNNNNNNNNNNNNNNNNNNNNNNNNNNNNNNNNNNNNNNNNNNNNNNNNNNNNNNNNNNNNNNNNNNNNNNNNNNNNNNNNNNNNNNNNNNNNNNNNNNNNNNNNNNNNNNNNNNNNNNNNNNNNNNNNNNNNNNNNNNNNNNNNNNNNNNNNNNNNNNNNNNNNNNNNNNNNNNNNNNNNNNNNNNNNNNNNNNNNNNNNNNNNNNNNNNNNNNNNNNNNNNNNNNNNNNNNNNNNNNNNNNNNNNNNNNNNNNNNNNNNNNNNNNNNNNNNNNNNNNNNNNNNNNNNNNNNNNNNNNNNNNNNNNNNNNNNNNNNNNNNNNNNNNNNNNNNNNNNNNNNNNNNNNNNNNNNNNNNNNNNNNNNNNNNNNNNNNNNNNNNNNNNNNNNNNNNNNNNNNNNNNNNNNNNNNNNNNNNNNNNNNNNNNNNNNNNNNNNNNNNNNNNNNNNGGAGGGAGAGAGGGAGAGAGGGAGAGGGAGAGAGAGAGAGAGGGAGAUAACUGUAACUAAGACCAGAUCAUGAUGCAAUGAAACUUUGUGCGCAGAUGUAUGUACACAUGGUUUGAUCGGUCGAAAAAAUAGCUGCUUAUUUCCUUCAGUUUGUUGGUGGUGAUUGGGUGCGGCGGUGCUCUUCUCCAGCGAUCAACGUAUAUUCAUGCAUGCAAAUCGCAGCGGUUAGUACCCACCUAUGCAUACAUCCUCGCGUGAAGAUGCUAAUGGUUGUAAUUAACAAGGCAGUUUUCAGAUGUUUUUUCUUCAGGAACUUGAAAAGAAUAGGUCUAAAUCCAUGCAAAAAGAAGAGAAUAGGUCUAAAUGAUUAAGCAUCACUUCUGCCAUUAGUUGCAAAACUUGUUUUGUGGGUCAAUGGGUAGGAAAGAAAGAUUCGACAGUUGCUUAAGAGUAACUAUGUCAAAUGCCAACAUAAGUAACGAUUUUAUUUCUGAGUUAGGUACGAAAGAAUGUGAUAGAGAAAAAAGAUUUUGCUUUAUCUAAAGAAUGUGAUAGAUAUAAAGGAGUUUGCUUUAUCUCUUAUCCCGCCUAUGACGUGAAUAUGUUUAGCUCAUAUGUGUAUGUCAUUAACUGAUUAGCAGUUUAGCACAAGACCAUUUUUCUGCUUCUUUGGUUGAGUAUCCUCUCUUCAAAUUUUUUGAUUGAUGCACCAAACAGUAAUUUGUAGUUUGUUACUCUAGAGGUUAAGAAAAUAUACUUCGGGCUUGGGGAUUUUUUUUGAGUAAAAACUAAUCAUGGUUAAUGUUUCAGAUGUAAGAUGUUGUCUGCACCCCGUGUAAUUUUCGUCAGUUUCUUUUCUCAGUGUGGAGACUAUGCCAGUGGAGAGACCAACGACGAUUACCUUGAGAUAGUGGGAUGUGCAUGGAAGGAGCGACUAACUAUGUAGAGGAAAGCUGCGCUCGCCGGCACUGGUCAGGUAUGUUGCUUUCCUGUGCUCGUUUCACCGCCAUGCUAUGCUUCUUUACCUUUCUGGCUAUUGCGGUGCAAAUCUUUGGAAGUUUCCCCAAAUUCUCACAUUUUGGAGCUGUUGUUCUAUUGAAAUUGAACAAACGAAAUUGUAGAUGGUUAGCAGGGCUUUGGUCCUUAUUUUCUUAUUUUCUUACAUACCAUUUGUCUAGGCCAAAGGUGUGAUUCUUCAGGGUUAAUACUUCUAUAUAUUGUUAGCUCUUGAUUCUGUUUUUCUGGGACAUUUAUAACAAUUUAGCUUCAAAUUUACUUGUAUUUUUUCUGGGGCAUUUUGAAGUGCGUGCGCAAGCUUCAAGUAUGUACAGUGCACACACUUUUGUUUGACAAAUUAUAACCCCAAUCAAGGUCCAAAUCGAAGCAUAUAUGACAUCACAAAUGGAUCUAAACAAAUGACGUCACAAAUGUCCUCCAAGGAAUGGUCAUAUAGAAAAGAAACUUAAAACAGACUUCGUUGGAAGUAUGUUGUUUUCCUUUCUUGAACUUGUAUUCCGUCAUUUAUUAAUAUUUAUUUACCAUGUCCAGUACCAGUAACGUACUAUGAGCUAAUUUUACAUAACAUUACAGGGGCCUAAAUGAUUGAGGAGUGAAAUUAGAUCAUGGCCUUUCAUGUUUGAAGGUAUUGUUCAUGUAAAUUUGUUAUUCCUACUGAAAUUGACAUACUAAUCCUAUACGCACCUGAAUAUUCUUGCAGGGAUAUAGUAUUACGAUAACUCUCAAAAAUCAAUAUUGUAUAAUGACAGAAGUUAAUAAUCUAAAUCAGCAGGAGCAAGCUUUGGAUGAGUGUAUAUACUAGGUUGGUAGCUGUUGCAAACAAUAAUCUUCAAAUUCUUGAAUGCUCUACAAAACAUACAAUCUGCUUUAUUGCUGAACCAAAUAAAAGCAUGAUAUAACUUGUAAUCUUGUUUUUCUUGCAGCGAGAUGUGCGGAAAGCUAAGCGGGUUAAUGGAAGAUGAGAAUGGUCGAAGGUAAUCAGAAUUCUCCAGUUAGUUAUAAGAUGCUCUUUGGGUGUGGUGUCUUUCAUAUAAAUAAAAAAGUUGGAAGAUUAUUGAACAACUAAAAGUCAUUUUGUCCUUUUCCAAAAAAAGUCAUUUUGUCUAUUUGAUGGUUAUAUCUCUGACAGGAGACCCCAUCUUGUCCUUAGUACCCAAUUUGUCAAUAUGUGUGCUUUAUGAUAAUUUUUUUGUUUGUUAGUAUUAGAAAGAGUGUCACAUAGCUAGGAUACUUGUGGAGCCAUUGGUUGGUACAUACGAUUUGAGGAUUACCAGAUAACAGUCUUAAUUGUCAAAAAGUUUUUUACAUUAACAUUUAAUGUUCUUGAUGUAUUAUCAGAAAUGAGCAAUGUCUAAUCAUUGGGUGACAACUAAUGCACUAGCUUUGUUUUAGUUUUGUGUAACAAUGGUCUCAGCUUAGGGAGUCGGAUAUUAACAUAUAAAGCAUAACAUGAUCACACCGCAAUUUGCAAAAUAUUCACUCUGUAAGGAAGUGAAAUACCUUCUCAUUAUAUGUGAUGUUCUCCAGUCCUAAGUAUGUGUUUUGUCUGAGCUGAAGUUUAUUCCUUUACACUCAAUUGCCCGUAUUUAUUGGUUAUUAUUUUCUCGAUUCACCAACGGUGACAGCAGAGUUGCGGUGACGGUGUCAACCAUGAUGUUAUAGGGAGAUGCACUACUGGAUGCCAUUCUAUUUGCUCCAUGUGCAAUUUGGUAAAAUUGAUUCAUGUUUUAAAUUCAAAAGUUAUGUUCUUUCAGGUUGUAAACUGCAUCCUAUAGUUAUUCAUGCAUUUUUGUCGACGUGAUGACACGUAUAAAACACAUUGUCAAUGUUUAGAUGAUGGUGGUAUAAGAAGAAAAUAAACUGCUAUUUUUUAUCCUCGACAAGAUAUUUUGGGUCCUUUUUCUGUGCUAGCAUCUUUUCUUUUGGAAUGGGAUAGUUAAUGGUGCUCUUAUAAAAAAAAUUGUUGUCUCCCUUCAUUCCGAAAUAUAAGCCCUUUUAGAGAUUUCAAUAGGACUACAUACGGAUGUAUAAGCUUCAUAUGUAGUCCAUAUUGGAAUCUCUAGAAAGGCUUAUAUUUAGGAACGGAGGGAGUACAAGAAAAACAACUGCGGCCACCUUUUUUUAGUUACUCUAUUCCAAGGUUGGUACUACUCCCUCUGUUCACUUUUAUAAGUCCUUGAAGACAUUUCAGACAACAUGCAAAUCAAUUCAUUUUCAGCUGUCUGAAACGACUUAUAAAAGUGAACGGAGGGAGUAGAAGAUUUCAGAAGGAAAAUGAAUGCAAAACAAACUAUGGAGAAAGUAAUAUGUGCAAUAUACCAAACUGGAGGAAGAAAUACAAAUCAAGAUAAGAACAUUACAUCAGUGGUGGUUUGAAAGAGGCAAAAGCAGGGAGGAAGGUAAAAUAAGAAAUGUAGAAGAGCUCUCUUAUAUUCCCUACAAGCAAGUUGAUUAGUGCUCUUGUAUUUUCAAGAAGGAGAACAGAAUUACUGGAAAAAAUGAAAUGGAAAUGACCUGGAGGAGGAACUUUGAAGGUAAACUGUGAUGGGCUUUCUUUUCUGGAAAUAGUAAUGGUGGCUGGGGAUCUGUCAUUAGAGACGAUGAAAGAGAUGAUAUCGUAUGUACGAUGGGUAAAACUCUGAAUAUACUACGUUACUUGCAUGUUGAGAUUGUGGCGGCUCACGAAUGAGCACAAUUAGUUGUGACUGCUAAGUAAAGUUGAGGUAUAAGCAAUAUUAGUUUUGAGACUAGCGGGUGUGGAACAUGAAGGGAAAGAUCUCUCUUGAGGUCUGCAUUACUAUGCUGGAUCUGAAGGAGUUUCUCUACUAAAACUUCUACAGUUUUAAAACUUGUGUACUCCAGUAGAGAUUGUAAUAAAGUAGCACAUUCCCUAACCGCCCUGGGUUGUAGUUUAAAUAUAGAAGCAAGCAUUGUAAUGGACCAUGAUGUAUCUGUUGUAAUUGAACAAGUGUCAUGCCACUUAGUUAGGACGUAUAUGUAAUGCAACUGUCUGCAAUUUUUUUUCUUGUGUUUAACUUGUACGCCGAGGUCCAGUUUAGAGUUUAUGAGGUAUUGCACAUGCAUUCCCACUAUUGUGUGCCGAAUAAAUGUGCAUGACACACAAUCUAAGAACAGAGGAAAAGGAACAGAAUAAAUGUUAGCACUAGCACUAUGCGCCUAUUCGAGGAGACGGAAAGCAUCACAAGGUUAGAGAGAGAGAGAGAGAGAGAGCAACACAAGGUGUGUGAGAGAGAGAGGCCCUCUCUAAUCAUACUUCUGUUGCUUCCUAGUGAAUAUGAAUUACAUUGUGUUUUCAUGGAAGUCUUUUCUUUCCCCUCUCUAAUCAUACUACCGCUCUUAUCUUUGCCUCUCUCUAUAUGAAGCUAGAAAUAUUAUGACAACGCACGGGCAUUCGGCUUCGGCCCGUAGCAACGCACGGGCAUUCUACUAGUCUUGAUAGUAUGUUGGAAAUGCAAGUACCUAGCCCAUGCGGCCGCACGGGUUGACGACUAGUUAAUUAGUAAUCGCGAUGCGCAUGCGGACGCCCAGGGUUUUGGCAUCGUGUGCCACCAUGUCCCAAAAAUUCAUGUCCCCUUGCACAAUUCCUAUGCUCAGCCAAUUGCAUAUUGUAUCGAUAAUACCCUUUUGUUCGUUUGAGGUGAACACCCAAUCAGCACCUUCUCCAACCUCAACACCUUUGAAGAAGAACUAACAAAACCAGUCCCAAGUCUUCCCCUGCAACUCGGUACAUUUGGGGCAACUGGUUACAUUUGUCUCACUACUAAAACCUUAUACACAAAAACUUACCAGUAGUGCAGGCUAAAAAGAAGCGCUACUACAAUUUAGCACUAGCGCAUGUAAACUAAACGCGUUGCAGCUAAGUUUGUAGCAGUAGCGCGUCUCACGGAAGAAGUGCUACUACUACAAUUCUCUUGCUGUUCUCGCCAGGCUACCAAUAGUAGUAGCAUGCUUAAGAAAAGCGCGCUGCUGCUAAGAUUGUUGUAGCAGUGUGUUUUACGCAGAAAGCGCUACUGCUAAGGAAAGGAAAAUAAAAUGAAAAACAUAUAGAAAAUGAAACAAAUAGAAAAAGAGGAAGGAAAAAAGGAAAAUGUGAAUGAAAAUAAAUAAAAAAGAAAAAUAAAGGAGAAAGGCAUAGCAGCAGCGGGCUUUCUGGACAGGCACUAUAGCUAACUUAGCAGUAGCGCUUGUUUCCAUCCAGCGCUAUAGCUAAUUUAGCUAUAGCUAAUGUAGCAGUAGCACUUUUCCUAAAACGCGCUACUGCUACUUUUGACUUAACCCCGCGCGGUUCUUCUUCCCCACGGCCACUUCCCCCAAAUCCAACUCGCGCGUCUGCUGUCGCCGGCGUCGUCGCCCAGCCGCCGCGUGCUCUCCCUUCGCCCUCCGCAUGCCCUCGAUGCCGCCCCCGACCCCGAUCUCGACGCCGCCCCCGACCCCGACCUCGAUACCCCCCUACAUCGCCGCCCCGCGCCGCGCGCCUGAGCCCGACCCCGACCUCGACGCCGCGUGCCCCUCCCUCGGCCGCUCCAUAACUCCGUCGGCGCCCGAGUUGAGCACGCCCUCCUCCUCCUCCUCUCGUACCUCUGCCUAGCUAGGGUUCCUAGGGUUAAAUUUUAGAGUCCAACUAAUUAGUUAGGGUUCAUCAAAUUAGAUGCUAAUUAGGGUAGUAGUUGUAGAUGCUUAAUUGUAAACUAGGUGUUAAUUAGGGCAGUAGUUGUAGAUGCUUAAUUAGUUUUUAGGACAAAUUCCUAGGUUUCAUCAAUGGGUGCUUAAGUAGUUGUAGAUGCUUAAGUACCCAGGUAGCGUUCAUCUAAUUAGUUAGUACUUGUAGAUGCUUAAGAACUAGGGCAGUAGGGUUUAACUAGGGCAGUAGUGUUUAGUUUAGAGAAAAAAUCAAUAUAGUUUUUUUUACUAUUUUUUAGUAAGUGUUUAAUAGAAUUAGUAAGAAAAUUAAUAGAACUACUUGAACUAGUUUAUUUUUAGUAAGAACUAGUUGAAUUAAAAUAACUAGUUUAUUUUUAGUAAGAAAAUUAAUAGAACUAGUUUAUUUUAGUAAGAACUAGUUGAAUUAAUAGACCUAUUUUUUAGUAAGAAAAUUAAUAGAACUAGUUAAACUAGUUUACUUUUAGUAAGAACUAGUUUAUUUUUAUUUAUAGUAAGUGCUUAGUUGAACUAGUUGAAUUAAUACAACUAUUUUAGAACUAGUUUACUUUUUUAGUUAAAGCAAUUAUUCCCGCAUCGACGUCGACGAUGCCUAUCCCGCAUCCUCGUCGUCGACUCGGCGGAGGAGGCCUGCUUGAUCAGAGGGGUCAUGUCUGGGACUGGGCUCCGUCGGGCUGGUACUGGGAUGUGCUACCUUUUGGGUGGCGCAGCUUGGUGAGGAGCCAGCCCGUCGUUGACUCGAACCUUCUUUGGUGGCGGUCGCGUGGGCCAGUGACGGUGCGGAGGCUUGAGGACCCCGUGGAGGUGGUACGUCACCGUGCCAGCGAGGAGGACGCGCACGUCCGUUGCUACAUGGUUGCGUUGGAGGACUAGUUCUCCAAUACCUGGCAGGUUCUUCAAGGAUCUCACUUGAGCUAUGAUCAUGUGAUGGUUCCUUCUCUUCGGGUGUCCACCGCCAGGGCCGAUACCCAUCGUUCGUUAGGGUUUUAGCUGUAUUAGUGAGGUUAUAUGUAUGAGACUAUUCGGGAUGUAUUAGUGAUAAUAUUCGACGAUGUACGGAUGCAAGAGAUGGUUUAGUUUUGCUUAUUGAAUGCAUGCUAAUUUGAAUACUAAUUUAUUUUAUGAUUUAGUUUUGCUUAUUGAAUGCUCAAAUUGAAGAAGUACUCCUAUUUUGAAUGCUCAAAUUGGAGAGCACUAUUUUGAAUACAAUUUUGUUUUUGUAGCCAAAUCUCCAUGUCGUAGCCGCUGUCGUCCCCGUCACAUGCCCCCUCCGACCUCGAGGUGAGACUAACUAAAUCUCCAUGUCAAUAUGAGUCCUAUAAGAUAUUUUGAAAUGUUUUUGUUCAUAUUUUCAACCAUUGAAAUGCAAUGACCAUCAAGUUUGAAUGCAAUGACCAUCAAGUUUGAAUGCAAAUAGGAUAUGUGCUUGCCCAAGUGGCCAUGUUUGCAGGUAACACCUCCGAGUGGCCUAUGUUUUGCCGGAGUGUUGAUUAAUUUCCGCUCCGGCAAAUUUCAGGCGCUCGAUAUGUCCUUUUUAAGCAAAGGUCAUGCCGGAUUUUUCCGUGAGUUUUGGCAUGACUUGUGCUAGAAUAUGUACGAAAUAUCGAGUGGCCUGGAUUUUCUAGAAAGAUAAUUAAACGACAUUUCGGGUUGACUUUAAGUCUAUCGAGGCUCCAUACAUGACAAUCAAAAAAUGAAUGAGGGAGAAAGUCUGCAUCAUAUAUGAGAGAGGAAGAAACCCGACUAUUGUCGUGCGGGUCGUUUCUCCUUCUUCUCCUUGUGCUAGACCUUUGUUAGGCACUAGGGGAAGGAGGAGUAACGACCAUCACCGACGGUCGAAAAAUAAGUGAGGGAGUGUGUCCACCAUAUAUGAGAGAAAAAGAAUGCCGACUGUUGUCGUGGGGGUCCCUUCUCCUUCAUUCCCGUGUGAUAGACAUUUUAGUUUAAUGCACUCGGGGACAAAGGGAGGAGCGAUCAUCACCAACGGUCAAAUAUAUACACCACGUGAGCUCAGAGUUUUCAAAAAAAAGACUCGACAGACCGAUAGUCAACCCGUGCUGAAUAAUAAUUUUCUAAUUUAGUUUUUGCAGUAUGUAUAUUGAAUUUUAGAAGUUUAAUCUUUGAAUUAUGAACAUAGGAAAUGUCGUCGGACAAAAGUCUCGCGGAGUGCUCCUGGUGCGGCAACAACUGGGGUUUCUGCGAUAGGCCUCACUUGGUAGAAAGUCGGCGCUUCAGCAUUAAGCUCCGGGAGGCCUUCGAUGUUGAAAUGGUACACUACGACGCAAAGUGUUUUUUUCGUAAUUAAGCUCGACUUCUACUACUUCAACGUGUAAUUUUUGUCUUUUACAAUUCGACUAGCUUAUCUCAUGACAUGCACGACGCUAUGUCUUGAAGAGGAUGGAUUUUGAAGAUCAUGGGAGUAUGGAAACAAAGAAAAUUCACCUAAGGACCCAUCAUGGUAUGGAUUUUGAGGUAAAUCUAUACAAUUCUGAGAGCGUAUCCCAUUUUGGUUGCCCGAAUUGGGAAGCGCUUUGCAAGAUGUAUGAUUUUCAUGAGGAUGUGCUUGUCACCAUGGAUCUUGGUGAUCCUGACAUCGAGGAAGACAAUUUGGACAUUUAGGUCCUUGUUGAUACGCUUCCAAUUUUACCGCUAUGUGAGUUUCUCAAACAUAGUUAUUAAGUAAUUUAUAUUAUUUAUUUCAAAAUAGUUUACAGCUUAUUUCCAUUUAUAGCUUAUUUUCAUUCUUCAAAGAAUGUGUGGAAGAUGGUAGACAGAACCUACUACACCGAUGGCUCAGAAUUAACUUAUCAGGAGAAAAAUCAUCUGAUCGCAUUUAUUACUGAUCUUGAGAAUUACAAUAUGUGUUACCAAACUCCUCCAUAUUAUGGUCAAUACGUGCCACUGGUGCACGUGUUGAAAUAUGCUAACAUCCAUGGAGAUGUCAUGGUAAGAUUUUUUAGUAUUACGACAUAUGUGCAUAUUUUGCAUAAAUUCUUCUAAAAUUGAACUACAUUGCUAACUACGAAGUUAUUACUGUGUUUUUCAACAGAUAAUCCCGCAUGAGUGUGUGCCUCAUCUGAUGUUUCAGAAAAGUCGUCUUGAUGUUUUGAAUAUACGGCCAGGUCAUCCUACGAAUCACUCAUGUUCAUAUCGGAUUUCUAAAACCAAUGAAGACAUGACAAUCAAAGAUUGGAAAAAAUGUAUGGUCACUCGUAGGGAGCUACUUGGAAGCAACCUUAGGCGAAGGGCAGGAUAAUCUCCAUUAUCCAUAAUGAAAAGCCUAUCUUGUUUUAUGCUAUUUUAUCUAAGAGAACAUAGUAGGUCCUAUGAGAGAGAAGUAGGUCCUAGGUACAAUGUAUUAUUAUGUGGUACAAUGUGUUAGAGUUGAUGAUGAUGAGGAGUUGUGAUUAUGACUACUGACCAACUUGCUAUAUGAUGUCUCAUUGAUAAAAAUGAUGAUCAUGAGGAGGUGUUAUAUGACAAUGAUGUAUUAUGAUGAUAAGUCGUUAAUGAUAUGAUGAUGAUGAUGAGUUAUUAUGUCAUUGGGUGAAAGAACCGCGGUUUAGUUUCAAGUGGAUGGAUCCAAAGUGACCAUUGGUCACUUUGGAUCCAUAUGCACUUGAAACUAAUCCACGGUUCUUUCACCCAAUGAUGUAAUAACUCAUUAUUUGUAAAAACAAUCUCUAAAUUGCUACUGUAUGAAAACUUUUAUAAUGGCGUAUGAAUACGACAUAAAACAAAAAAGAAAUACCCAACAAUAGUAUAGUAGCGCGGGUAGGGAGGCGCGCUGCUAGUAACUACCAGUAGCGCUAUGUACCAAAAGCGCUACUGCUAAGCAGGUAUAGCAGUAGCGCGGGCAAGCACAUGCUACUGAUACACUUUAGAUGUAGCGCCGUAUCAGUAGCGCGCCACCCCGUGCUACUGAUAUACCUAAAACCGGCGCUACUGCUAGUCUUUUCCCUAGUAGUGUUUGUUUGCAUCUCCCCACAUGGAAAUCAUAUCUCUACAUUUGUUACAACUUUGAAAAACAACCAUUAACUCUUCGACUUUUCUACAACCUGCCAUGAAACUUCUCUUCAAUGCAGAAAUAAAAAAUAUUUUUGUUGUUUUUGGUGUAUAAGAAAUGCAAUAAAAUAAAAUAUGAUAAAUAAAAGAAACUAAGCAAAGUAAAUAACAAUGAAGCCAGAAAUUGUCUAAGUCAACAGUUUUCCAAAAGGAACAAGGGUACGGGGUCAUGAAAAAAGAGUGAUGCUUAAGAUGACCCCCAGGGUGAAAUCUCCAUAAAGUUGACUAAUGGGAGAUUUCUGGUAAAGGAUGCUUUUUGUUGACUUGUACUAUUGCGUCAAGGGGAUACACGCACAUCAAGUCCACUGAUGAUCUUUACAUAAUUAAGAUGCAUAUAACUAACACCAAUACACAACUAGAGGACGCCGAUAAAGAAUAAAGUCAUACAAAACCGCGACGAUGCUCAAGGAGAGGGGGAAGCGUGGCAAUUUAUAGACUAUGCCGCCUACUAUAACAGAGUAUACACCCCAAAUUUUCGAUCCUGCCAUCUUACCAGCUACCUAAUAGCACUAUUAUUUGGACAACUUAAGUGGAAAUCUUGUAGAAAACAUCAAGGAAGGCAAAUAAGUUCAUACUCCCUUCGUCCCAAAAUAACUGUCUCAACUUUGUACUAGCUCUAGUACAAAGUUGUACUAAGCUUGAAACACUUAUUUUGGAACGGAGGGAGUACUAUAUAUGACUCUUGUCUGCCCCUGAUCCUUAAGUAACAUAGGCACCAUACCUAGUUAAAUCUAGAUGUAUCUCGUUUGCCAUGAUUGAACUCUUUAAGAAGCAUUUAGUGUUCAUCUCAAAGCAAGAGCCAAUAUUUAUGAUAAAACUCAAUACAAAGCAUCUAUACUGGAUGCUUUUAUUGAGUUCCUUAUGAGAUGUAACCAUAGUUACAACUUCCAACAUCUAGAUGAGAGAGGAUGCUCUUAUUAUAUUUUGUUUGGAGGGGUUAUAUAUAACUAAUUAGUUAAGCGAAGGGCCUCUGGUUGUAGCAGUCGAGGUUAUCGCCAUAGCCAACUCUGAGAAUGUCACAGUAGCGCUUGUAAAACCCUAUCCGAUCGGCGACUCGGCUGUCCUGCCCAUGCCCGCACUCAAUCCCGCCAUUGACGAUGUUGGUGAUCACACCAAACCCGGGCACCCGCCCUGCAGCCCGGUCCGUCCCUGAUGGGCUCCACUGGCCUGUGAUCACCGCAUGGCUCGACGGCUUUGGCGCCUGCGCCGUCAUCCAGAACCACAUCGCCGUCUUAAACGACACUGUCGGGUCCGUGGCCACCAGGUCUGGGUUGCGCAGCAGAUCGACCCCAAUGGCCCGGCCUGCCGGCCCGUAGUUGUAGUUGUGGGAGAGCUGGAUCGGCCCACGGCCGUAAUAGCUCUUCCCUGGGGCACACGGCCAUUGCGCGCUCGGAGUGCAGUAGUUGGAGGUGGCGCCACGCUCCUGCUUGAAGCAGUAGCCCCAGGCGAAGGCUCCGUCCGGCGCCGUCGCCCACCCACCGGUGGUCUCGUGGGAGGUCUGAGCCAGGAAGGCGGCCACCUCGCGCUUCCGGGUGUCGGUGCUGCCCGUGGUGCCGAAGCCCGGGAAGGCGCCCGCGGCGGCGACGAAGGCGUCGU